rnacentral:lncRNA from 1 species
GUGCUUGGGGUUUGGAGGCGUGAGCAGAAAGUGUCAAAUUGGAAAGUUUACCCCUUGCUAUGUGGCGUUUUCUCUAGGUUUUAAACUUGUGUCGGGUUCAUGGUGUUCGUGAACCUUCUUUUACAGAGCCUCAGACUUGAGUUUCUGCUGCUUUUUGGAGCCGUUGAGUGUAAUGGCACUAAAAUUGUGAACAGUUGAGCGAUAUUUUCGGAGGCCUCCCCAUUCUGAGUUUUUAUGAGUAUAUGUGAGAAACACCCUUCUCUCCGAGGCUUCUUUCACGAAUUGGAGCAUAUUAGUCGGUGCUGUUCGUUGUAAGCUUUGUUCAGUGUUUUUUGUGUAUUUUGUGCUCUUAUUGUUGUAUUUCGACGUAGUCACCUGAUCGGUAGAGACGAAGCUCUGCACACGACUGACCAUAUGUUCUUGCGUUAGAACACUUCUUACAGCCCCUGACUGUAUAUACACUCCUUCGCCCCCUCUCAAAGUCGCCGUUUAGACCAAGAUUCCUUUCAGAUUCGCUAUCACCUCCUUUUCACCAUCUGCUCAGCUCACACUCUUCUUGGAGCAAAUUGGAUUUUUUAAAAUAGAAAAGAAAAAGCAAAAAUAUACUAUCUUAUAAAUCGUUUAGCUUCACAUCAACGAGUACCACCACCCCUUCAUCAUUCACGUAGGGAGAGGAUUGGCUUGGGCAUUGCAGACUUCUCAACAGAGCAACUGGUAGAACAGUUCCAGGAUUCGGGAAAAGGAUUUUGAUCCUUUUGUGAAGUGGACAUUAUCNNNNNNNNNNNNNNNNNNNNNNNNNNNNNNNNNNNNNNNNNNNNNNNNNNNNNNNNNNNNNNNNNNNNNNNNNNNNNNNNNNNNNNNNNNNNNNNNNNNNCUUUUCUUACAUGUCAUACUCAUUUUUCUGUUCCUGCAGUUCGAAUCACUCUUUUUAAAAUUAUUGAAGAGUUUUAGGCAUGAUACUUUAAUUCGUCGCUAUAAUCGUCUUCAGACUAUUUUUGUGGUACUCAUUUGUGGUCGGGCGAAGCAAACUGAGGUAGUCUACCGAACACAUCGUUCCUUUUCCUUGAUUAUAUUUACAUGUAUUCUAACACCUGCCUUCACUUGUCCUGAAUCUGUUUGUUGAACAGGGUGACAGGCAAAAGGGCACUCUGUCAAUCUAAGUCGUGCUGCGAUUACAAUGCGGCCGCUCAUGUAUGCAUCCUAUGAAUCAUUUGCCAUCUCACAUGCAUCAAAAACUGUUUUUUGAAAAUCCUUGGAAUGUGUUCUCUUCAGUUUCUGUAAUGAGUAAGAUUUAUGACAUGCAUAGCGUACAUAGUUCCUUUUUUCUUUUCAAAGAAAUAAAUUUUCUGAGCAAUUCAAUUUAGGUGGCCAAAUGACAACAAUUAAGUUAAUGCAUGCAAAGUAUCUUGCUGUGAGUAUUCGUGUGAUGUUUUAUAGUGCAAGUUGUCAUAGCAGGCGAAGUUGGAUAGUUUGCCAGCGGGAGUGCGAUUUGACCCUAGUGACGAAGAGUUGCUGGACCAUUUAGCAGCUAAAAUUGGUCGCGGCUCGAAAAAGCCUCAUCCUUUGCUUGACGAAUUCAUACAUACGCUAGAGGAGGAAGAUGGAAUUUGUCGGACUCAUCCUGAGAAUUUGCCAGGUGUGGAUGUGCUGUGAUGUGUUUUCCUCCCUCCAAUUGCAGGACAAUUGCCAACUCUGUUUACGGUUUUUAUUCCAGUCCUGAUCUUUAGCAUUAAGGAUUAACAUUAAGGUCGAGUUUUGAUGAUGUCGUGAAGCCUUUCUAAAUAUACCCUUCUCGUGUAAUCAGGGGUCAAGAAAGACGGGAGCAGCUGUCAUUAUUUUCAUCGACCUUCUAUGGCAUACACCACUGGUACACGUAAGAGGCGAAAAAUCCAGACUGACGAUAUUCCAGACGGUGGUGCCGAUGUUCGUUGGCACAAAACAGGCAAAACUCGACCUGUGUCUCAGGUUUACUUCUUGUCAUUCACUAGUUCUUCUGUAUGGAUUUGGAUCUAGAAAUUAGGAAUGGUAUUGACUGAUACUAGACAUGUGAAAUGAGCAUGCUGAGUUUUAAGUGUCAACUGUGGUUAUAUUUGUGUGCAUGGUUAUUACGAGCUAAUAAGUCUUGAACCAUGUCUAAUUCUUCUUCAGGGUGGAAAGGUUUUGGGACACAAGAAGAUCAUGGUUUUGUACAGAGCUACGGGUAAGAAAUCAAAGAACAUGAAGACCAACUGGGUGAUGCACCAAUACCAUUUGGGUUCUAACGAAGAAGAAACGGAUGGAGAGCUUGUUGUGUGCAAAGUUUUCUUUCAAAAAGCACCUCGAAGCUGUCCUAGUCGUAGAACGGAGGCUUCAGCUGUGGAUGAUGUAGAGGGUGAACCGUCAGAAAGUGACAUAGGAUUCCAGGCGCCUGGAUUGUCUGGCGAUUCACCAUCUGUUUCAGUGGUGACAAGAGGACGGCCCCCAUUGACCCCGAGAUCGUGCCCACCGUCACGCACUGCAAAGCAGCUCUAUGCUGAGCCAACCGAGUCGAGAUCCGAAAUUUUUGAUCCUCAGCUUCUUGCCACUCAGUCCAAGCAGAGAGGUGUUUUUCGUAAGUACUGUGCUUUGACUAUUCUAUUCUAUAUUGUUAUUAAACUAAAAAAUUGUAAUUGUAACUGCUCUCUAGAGCACAUUUGCAGGUUUCUGGGUUCUACUUUUAUCGUUCCCUUGCGCUGUUGAUUUCCUGUCUAAUAGUGAUGCUUUUAAGAACUUAAAAAGCAACUUGAAAUGCACAGGUUCAGAGUCACAUGGAUCAAUGUAACGACAAGGAGGGUGUUGGUGAGGACAUUGGUGUGGACAUGAACCUAGAAGCUACUGGUUAUGUAGUGUACGAGCUUGGAGACGUAGCGCUGGGAACAUUGGGAGCUGCUAUGUAUGAUGGCAAUCAAACAAAACACAUCAAUGCAGGACUUUCUGGGCAACUGUUCUCCGAAGGAGAAGACCAGUCCUUUCAAGCGGUCAACCUAAAUGAGGAGCAUGAGUCUUGGGGUCUUGAUCAUUCUGUGGAAGCAACAAAGAAUGAGGACCCCUCUGUCAUGAGUCUACUCUGUGACGAACAUCUCAACGGUGACCCCUUAGCGGAGGUUUGUAGUGACAUUUAAUUUGAUGAUGCAUUUUGAUGCGUUGCAUGCAACUCUGGCUGCUGAACGGAGACUUUUUAUGCCAUUUUCCAUUCAUUUGUCUGUGGAUGUAACAUGCAGGAUGCGGAAUACGAGGACUUCAACUUCCGAAGCCUUUCGUACGAUGUUGGUUGCAGCGUGGAGGACGAACCUUUCAGAGGUGUUGAAGGAGACCGAAAUGGUGUUGAUCCUGCAUUGGAUACUCUCGUGCUGGACACUCCUCCAGACAUGUUGGAGGUUAGUAUAUCGCUUCCGUAGUGGUAACCUUCAAUUACGUCUUAAGGCUACGGCAUUCAAUUAUUCUUUGUUUUAUUUUAUUUCGUUGCAUUCAAUUAUUCUUUUGUUUUGUGUUGCCGAAUAACUGACUUGAUGUUGUAAAUGCCGUUAUUUCCCACUCUUACUUUCUGAGGUCUUGGCUUGGAUGCAGUACCCCGUUGUAACAUCGCAGGAAGUCAGGGAUUGGCUGGGCAAACACCCUAUUGUUGGUCUUGAUAAUACUGACAGCCAAUCGACCACUUAAACAGGUGAGGCUCAUUCGCAUCUUGAUAAUAUCCUGGAGGACUUUGUAGUUGAUACGGUUGAUAAGUUUUACUAUUUAAAUCGUGUAGGUCGAUUGGUUAACAUGAAUCCUUUUUUGUCUUUCUUUUUUGCAUAGUGACUCAGCUUCUGCAUAUUUACAACCUAAUUUAUACAUUUGUUAAAUGUAUUGUCUAUCGAUUAACUUUCAAUGGUUCUCUUUUUUCUUUUUAUUAUCUCAGGUAGUUGUCUGGCGAAGGGAUGUGUAUCAUGGAGGGAUCUAUCCAACUCAACCUGUCCUCAGUGCCAUGCCAGGCCAUCAGAUCUACAAGGGGUUUGUGCUGCACGCGUGCUGUUUAUUUAGAUUUCACCAGUGAGAUUUUUGUUGAACACGCUUUACGUAUUGAAAAGCAACCUAGAAAACCACCAACGUAGUUGACUUGUUAUUUAAUCACAAUAUAGAUAUAGAUAGUAAAUAUUGCUAAAAUAUUCAAUAUUUAUUGCAGAAGAGGGUUUUGCUGGUAGUUGGAAUGGGUCUUACCGCGUGUAGCUUUUGGUUGUUGAGGCGAUUAUUUUUUGUGGGAAUAGUGCAAGUGCGGUAUAUCAGAAAUGGUUUGGAAAUUGAAAGUAGUUAGAUGUUUACAAACAUGAGGUCCGAUCCCCUUGGAAUUUUUGAUAAAUUUUUGUAUAUAAGAGUUGGAACGUUUAAGUCUGAUCAUUCUGUUGCAGAAACAAGAAGGUUGGAAGAGUAAUCGCAUGAGAAGCGAAUUAUUGUUGACAUAGUUCUUCUCUACUCGUAACUUACUAGAAAUGUUUAGGUUUACGACGCAGAAAUUAAUUUGGUACAGUUUAUUUAGUUUAGAUUUCGGUUUGUAUGGGUGUGACAUUGAUGGAAUGGUUAUAGUUGUCUGAAAAUGUUGUGUAAUUAUUUUGAUCUUGUCAAAGGGUGAUAUUUGGUUCCCCAGGUGUGGUUUUCAAUGCUUAAUCAAUUCAUGCAAGCUGAAUCUAAGCAUUACAACUGUAUGCAACGUAGUGAGCACGAAUGUGGUUAACUUGUAACCACAACUCUCCGGUGGCAGAGGAACACAAAUCACAUAAAAACCUAACAUUUCAAUGAAACAAAUUUACAAGGCCAUAUUAACAGCUCAAUCUGAUACAUCUUUUGCAAGGAUAGACAUGCACAUAUAAAUCAGAAGGAAACUCUUCACGUUCAAACUGUUUAUGUCCAAACUGAUUUGUACAGACAUAACAAGGUACCCCGGUAGGUUCACCAGAAGUUCCAUCUUCUGUACAUUAAUAUGCUCAAGUUCACACGAAGGAAGUUGCUCUGCUGAUGGAGUUCUCUUGUUUAAGGAUUGCUCAACGCUUGUCGUAAUCUGAACUCUACUUGGCAACAAAGGAACCUAAACGGACGACGUUCCCAUUAAUAUCCUUCACGUAGCAUACUUUCUGCUGCCAGACCUUGUCCUCGGGCCCAGCCACAGGUGAUGCUCCUUGAUCUAUCGCAUGCUGCAUUUUCACAGUUAUUCGUCAGAAGAAACCCAGUUAUAGAACUCUCCAUCAACAGUAUGCUUGGUUCAAACUUACUUUCCUAAAAUAAAAAUGAAUAACCUUAGAUAAGACAAUUUAUCAGUUACUUCGGAAUUUGUUUUCUGUAGCCGUUUGAAUGCGGUCAUCUUAUAAUGUUAUGACAAAAUAUUGUAAACACGGAUGUGUGUAAGUCACAAAAUACAGCUUUUAAGUGCACCUUGUAUGCUCUUUCCACGUCCGGGAAAUCUAGGCAAAUCUCCACAUUGUGAUGACCUUCAUCCGAAGAAGACACACCUCCGAUCAGUUGAGCCUCGCGUUGCUUCGCAGGAGUGAAUGCUAAUGUCGUGGUUCCAGUUUCCAUUUCAACCCAUCUGGGUGCAAAUGACAGUAGACAGCAUUAUCAACGAUUUUUAAGAUGGUGCAAACUCAGAAUAGAGCGUUAAAACCUGAGAGUACUGACUUCACAUGAAACGGGGACUAAGACAUCUUGAAGGUUGCCAUACACUGUCCUCUAAAGAAAAAAUUAAAUCAAUAAGGAGUUAAAUAAACUCCGCCUUGAAUCAAUAUUCAAAUUACCCUGUCAAAGGUUCAGGCCAGAUUCUACUUACGAGUUAGUCUUGUUCUGGGGUCGAAUUUGAAGACCAAAGGCCUUGCUGUAGAAGUCAGCAGCCUUGUUCACAUCCUGGACGUAGACGAUAACAUAAGCUAGUUGAGCACCACCCAUUUUCCCUUACCUGCAGCCCCAAGUCAUGUCAAGUUUGGUUCUUCCGCAACAAACUAAUUUCCUAAACCUCCAUGUCUAGGAUCACGACUCCCUCGACCUCGUUGCAUCAAACAGAUACCACACCAACUAUAGAUAAAACUAACAAGAACAUACUCUCCAUGCAAAUCCUCUCAGAAAACCCCUCAAAUUGGAUCACAGAUACGCCGCUCACUGGCAGCGUAAAAAUAUGCACAACUUAGACAGAAAAUAAAAACACGCACCCUAGGGAUACGAGAGGAAGAAUGAAAAUCUAAGGAAGGAGGAGAAGAAGCAAAGAAAGUCAAGGAAAAGCAGGAACAAGAAGAAGAAGAAGAAAGCGAUAAGUGGAGUGAAAAGUGGGAGGGAUACCUAAGGUAGGAUAUAUAUAUAUAUAUAUAUAUGUGUGUGUGUGUACAUGUAUGUACAUGCAGCGGCAAAGCAAAGCAUCCAGUUGGAGGGGGGAGGGAAGGAAAGGGGGAGGAUCAACGACGGCAGCCAGGAAAGCUUGGCCCAGCAAAGAGAGCUCCACUUGGCGGGGCAGGUGUCGCGCCUCUAGGCCCCCUUGGUGACCGGGGCCCUCCACGGCGCCCACGUGGCCUUCUUUCCGCUGCCCCUGGUGGACAGUUCUCCCCGGAAUCUUGGGGUUGCUGGCGACGACGCCUGUUCUGAUGAGUAACAUGUUCUCCUCUCCGGCAUAAGAAAUGCCCACCCUGUCGAAGUUGGGGGAGGGGGGGGGGAGGAGGAGGCUCAUAAAUUAAGGGGGGCCUGCCCUUUUCUAGUGCGGGCAGGCUUCUUUGUGUUUGCUUCAUGAAUUACGCACCCCUAAUCUCUUAUGCUCCUGUUCUUUUUUGGCCCCCCAUAUUCUUCCCCUUCAUCUCUGGACUGUCCUUUGCUCCCUUCACACAUUAAAAGUUAUAAAUCUCAGAAAGACAGACAGUAUGGGGUUUGCAUGUUGUGAAUGUUUAUUGCCCUUGCCCGAAGUUUGUGUUUGUGGGAAAUUGUUGUGUAUAUAUAUAUAUAUAUAUCGAGAGAGAGAGAGAGAGAAAAGAUAAAGCGACCCGAAUUGUUACUAAAUCGACCCACAAGUUUAAACCAUCAUUGUACCCUUUAAACCACAUUCCCAUUUUCUUCCCUUGUUCCCAACUGUGGCCCCCGUUAGCAAAAAUUGGGAAUGAAGAGACCUAGGAAUAAAGAUAGGGGUUGUAAGGAUGCAACGAUAGUUAAGAUGGAUCGGGUCAUUUUAGUAAAUAUUUAAAUCUCUAUAUCAUUCCCCAAUAUAUAUUUAUAUUUAUAUAUGUUUGCUAAUUAUUUGUAGCUUGAUUCUAUUUUAAAAAUAUAUAUAUCUAAAAUAAAUGACAAAUAUUAAUUCUUCUAUUUUCAUGUAAAAAAUAUAUAUGUGCACUUUUUCGAUCCCUUUUUCAAAUAAAUGUUGCUGUAAAACUUCCUAUGCACUUAAAGCAUAUCUUUUGUAAUAAUAAUUGCAAUAACAUUGGCCCUACAUCCGAUAACAUCUCAAUUAUAAGUACAUAUGUUUGAAUGAAUUAUAUAGUUUUUAAUUUUAACUUUACCAAUUCGAUUUUAACCUUAUAAAAAUGAUCAAAUUUAAGGAGGCGAUAGGAUGAAAUUAGGAAAAAUUUUACAAUUUUGAAUUUUGUUUUUAGUGAAUUUUCAAUCUGACAUUUCAACAGUACCAACAAAAAUAAAAAUCUUUUACCGACAUUCAAUGAAUACAGUCUGGAAGAAUUGAUUCAAGAGCAACAAGUUUCCAUGCCGCUUCUUGAUGUCGGCGAACUCACCUCCCCGGAAGCCGCGCCACCCACGGAAAUCAUCGAUGCCAACAAUGUUGGUAUGGAGCCUUAAUUCCUUGGCGAUGGAGCGAUGAAGUACCGAGGAGACUUGCUAUCUCUAUCACAGACCUGGGCUUCACUUCUUCCAUGAAAUGCCGAAACACGAUCUCGUUGAAGCCCCACCCUCUGUUUUGAUCUGUUUGAAGUAGAGCGACAUGCUUGGGGCGGGAAGUGUUCAUACGGCGACACGCCGUCGACCAUCUCAUUCAUAAGAUUUUCAUUUUGUUUCUGGAGGCAUCGCCUUGGUUUUGAACCCAUUGUUAACUGUGCUGGCUUUGUUAUGGCCAGUUCCCAAUCAUCGCUGUAUGUGUACUUUAUUGCAGAGGUCGAUGACGAAGGUAAUUGUGAGACGAGAGAAUUGCCGCGCCCAUGCCAUUCGGUCCUUCGUAGGCGUGCUCCAGACGCAACAUGUGCAGGGGAAGUUGUAAUGGUGUGUCUACUUCGUUCUCCGCUUCAAGCGUUACCUUAUUUGUUACCCACUUUUUACUGCUCUUCAUCCAUAACAUGUCCAUUGGAAGGUUUUGAGUGCGCUCUAAAUGUAACAGGGUCAGUUAGACAGAAUGUAGCAGAUACCUUGUCUGCCACAAUGUCUGCACUGGUGCUUUUCCUCAUUUAACUCAAGUCAUGCAGGAUGUUCUGCUUUUCUUGAACGGAUCAGGAGGGAAGUUUGUUGCAACAGAGUGCGAAGCAAAUGUUCAUCAUUUCAGAAACACCCAACUCUUCGUUCACAGGCAAUAAGUUACACACACAAUAUGAAACAUUACAGUCACAAUGUUCGACUAUUCAAUUGUCACCAUAACCCACAACAAAGCUCAGAAGAAAUCUAGGUAUAUUCCUUGCCUGUUGAUGUAUGCUUCAUCCAAAUCCAUUACAAACACAAUGGCCAACUGGGAAUCCACCUGAUCUGACAUUUCAAUUGAUAUCAUGGCUACUAUUGCAGCCGUCUGGUCAUGGUCGCCGCUGGAAAACUACAUCAUUUUCCAGCUUCGGAAAAGACUUCAUGACCAGGAGUAUCCAGCCUGAGUGGGAGUCCCCGUACAAAAUAGGUUAAACGCGAGUGCAUCAGCAACAGCAACUGGUGCCAGGGCUGGCUGCAGACGAUCAACAGCACCUGGUGAAACUGCAACCAUGGCCACUGGUGCAACCACCACAUAGUCAUGGUCGCUACUCAUUAACUGCAUCAUUUUUCAGUUCCGGAAAAUAGUCCAUGUUCCGGAGGUAUUCUGCCAGGGAAGGAUUCACUUUACUAAGUGCGUCAUCCACAUCUGCAAAAACGACAGCAUCCGGUGCCAGGGCUGGCUGCGGGAGAACAGCAGCAACUGCUUGUAGGUCUGGCUGCGGAAGAGCAUCCGGAUGUUCAUCAGCACCUCGCUGCACAAUGGCAUCCGCCUCAACACUUCCACUGACAACCUCCCCCCCUUCUACCGACGCCUCCUCAUCAAAAGGGACAAGUGGGAUCUCCGAAUUGCCAGAACCGUCGGAGGGCUGAACGGUGAUCUCACCGGCUCCAAAGUUGGCUGUGGUCUCAUUUAGUUCUGUUGUGGGCGUCUCGAAACUAGUGACAGACGAAGUACUCUGCUGACUUGAGUCGUUUCCGUCCUCGCCGACAGAUUGAGAAGAAGUAGUCCCAUCAACGCCAUCGCUGAUACUGAACAUCCGCACACACACACAAACUGUCAACUUGCAAACCUGGACCCUAUCACAGUAAACCCUAAUAGUAGCCAUGAAUCGAAAAAAGGAAACCCUAUCACAGUAAACCCUAAUAGUAGCCAUGAAUCGAAAAAAGGAAACCCUAUCACAGUAAACCCUAAUAGUAGCCAUGAAUCGAAAAAAGGAUAUCCUAUCACAGUAAACCCUAAUAGUAACCAUGAAUCGAUAAAAAGGAAAGAAAAGAGGUUUACAAGAGUAAGUGAAUGAUUGCGCCGAGAAGCUGCAUCACGCCACUGAAAAGGCGCACCGAGAACCCGAUGAUGCCGCUGAUGAGCCCCAUGCUUUGCCACCCACUGCGGGCUGUGCGCGAUGUUCCGAUGAUCCCAAGCAAGGUUCCACCCAAAGCACAAAGAGGGGCAAUGGUAGUCUAGCAGCCAGGCUUGACUAGAAUGAGUGUUUGUGUGAGGAAGUGACACAGACAGACAGACAGAGCGAGUGCGAUAGUGUGAAGGAGUGCCACACACACACAGACAGCGUGAGUAAGUGAGCGAGGGCGUGUGAGGAAGUACCAAGCACACAAAGAGCGGGUAAGAGGGGAGUGUGAGGGAGUGCCACACACACACACAGACACCGCGUGGGUAUGUGAGCGAGGACGUGUAGGAAGCAGCACGCACACACAGAGCGGGUAAGAGGGGAGUGUGAGGGAGUGCCACUCACACACACGGACACCACAUCAGUAAGUGAGCGAGGACGUGUGAGGAAGCAGCACGCACACACAGAGCGGGUAAGAGGGGAGUGUGAGGGAGUGCCACUCACACACACGGACACCGCGUGAGUAAACGAGCGAGGGAGUGUGAGGGACGGGCACACAACUCUCACACACACACAUACUAAAUGAGAUAUUGAGGGAUCGCUGGUGAGAGAGCUUUUUAGGAAUCCAGAGAGAGAAUAUGAGAGACAGAAUUAGUGAGUUGGAGUUAGUGGCAACUAUCUCACUAACUCCAACUCACUAACUCCACACCACGUCCAUUUCAGGAUAUUUCCAGAUCCCCUACGUCCACAUGGACGAUGUCCAUAUCCUUCAAAUCUCCUCUCUAUGCCGACCUCCUUCUCAUGAAUUGGGUUGGCUGCAUUCAGUUGCUCACACUUGCCUCUUGAGCUUUGAUGGUGUGUGACGCCGGAGCGUGAGAUAUGCCCAACGUGUUCUCGGACUGGACUUGGUGCCAGAGUGAUACCAGGGACGGGUGAACUGCAGCGCCUAUGGCAUUGGGUUGGCUUUGUAGGCGUGCUCCAAAUGUGACACGGCCAAUUGGACAGGGGAUUUCAGAUGCCCUGUCUCCCACAAGGUCUGCACUUUUGCUGCAAUCCCCGUUCAACUUGUUCAUUCAAGCUUUCUUCCUCUUCUUGCACAGAUCACGAAGAGAGCGUGUUUCAACAGAGGGCAAGGUAAAUGUUCAUCAUUUUAUGAACGCUCAGGUCUUUGUUCACGAGCAAUUGGAACAUGGUGCACGUAGGAAAUUCUUACGACAAUUUUCUACUCUGAGGUUGUGGGUUCCUCAAUUCGGUAUGAAUUAUAGUAAUUCCGACGCUUACAGGGGUGACUGCGUUGUUGAAUCUUUUAGAGUAGGCUUGCGGCGCUGUUGGAGAUCAUUGAAUACAAAUUGCUGGGCACGAGACCUAGACAAAGGAAUUGGAGCAGGACGCCCAGGAGAGGCUUCUAACAAAGUUAGGAAGCAGCCAUUAGAUCGUACCUGUCGAACUGGCUCAAGUAUUAAGCAUUUGAAAGAUCGUUGCUUUGAUGACAUUAUCGAGAAAGAUAAGCUUCUUAAGAUUGUUUUGUGUAUCAAGGACCUCCUAGGAGCUGAGCCGAGCCGAUCCAUGACUAUAUUGGACCUGGGCAAGAACAAGGAAGAUUUAGGGUUCAAGGGAAAUGGGCGUCUUGUCGCAUUCUUAAAACGUUACCCGGGUGUUUUUGUAGUUCACGAGACUGCGGGAUUUGGAAAUCUACCUUGGUUUCAGUUUACACCAGAAGCAGAAGCUGCCUUUGUAGAGGAAUUGGAAGUACGAAAAGGAAUGAGCAGCGAGGUUGUCAUAAAGCUGCAGAAGCUUCUAAUGAUGUCAAGUGAUAGGACGCUCUUAUUAUCAAAAAUUGCUCACCUUGGGCGAGAUUUAGGUCUUCCUGAUGAUUUCAGGAAAAGUUUUGUGAAUGAGUAUCCAAACUAUUUUCGCGUUGUAGGAAGUAAAUGUACUCUUGAUUCUGAAGGUCCUAAACUGGAGCUCGUUAGAUGGAGCGCUCGUCUGGCUUUUACAGAAGUUGAGUUAAAAGCUAAAGAAUCCGGACGUGGUGAGUGUCUUGCUUCCUGCCUUAAGUACCGCCGAUUUGGAUGUGUUGCUUACGCAAUUUUGAGCAUUAACUUCAAUCCAUUUUUCUGAUAUCUGUUCCCUACAAUUUUUUUACACCUACAAAGCUUAUCAUCAGUCGAACUUUGAGAGUAUGUUGCAGAUUCUGUUCAAAUUUUGGAAUCCAGCAGUUCGAAAGGAUCCCGACUCUCAAAGUUUGACGAAGUUGAUUGUCCCUCACCGUAUCAGGAUGCAAACCAUCUUCAUCCUCGAUCUUUUCUGUUCGAGAAACGCGCAGUACUUCUUGUUCAAGAGCUUUUGUCUCUCACCUUAGAGAAGCGGCUAUUAGUGGACCAGCUUACACACUUCCGCAACGAGUUCAAAUUUUCGAAAAAGGUAUGUCGUCUUAUUUCCGUGUGAAUCCUUGUUCUCUUGGCCAAAACAUGAUGUCAAUGCCCUAUGCAAAGACAAGGACAAGUAUUAAGUUGUAAACUCUGAGACUUGUAUAUCAUACUUUAGGUACAGGUCUGCUGCAAAAUUAUAGGUGGCAGAGCAGUAAAUACCGAGGCAAUUGUCUAAGUUCACUGAUGAAGAUGCCUUUGUUGUUGUCUCAGUUACAUGGUAUGCUAAUCCGUCAUCCUGAGCACUUCUACGUUUCCAGAAAAGGUUCUCGUGACACUGUGUUUCUGAGAAGGGCUUUUCAGGAAAUUCAUAUACGUGGUCAGCGUAAGGAAUAUUGUCUAAUUGACAAGCACCCCUUGGUCCUGGUUAAAGAGAAAUUUGCAGCUCUCAUGGGAGUGGAUUGUGUUGCUUCUAGCACUAGAAAGAGUCCAGGUUCUUUUCAAGGUAAGGGUACUCCUGCGCAGGCCCGCACAGCUCCAGCCGAAGGUUUUGCAACGACCAAGGAUCCUUGGUGAAUAAACAUCAAAUGGCACUAGUGUGACCGACACGCUCAUCAUAAAAUCUUAUCAAAAGAUUGGCCAAUUGAUUUGGUUUGCUGAUGAAGCUAGGAACCUCUAUGUGAAUCUGCACCAAGGCAUGUUUUAGACAAUUUGGAACUUGUAAGCAGCACUUUCUGGCCAAAGCUCCUCAGACUUCGCAAGUAAUAAAAUGGUCAUUAGUGAUCUAUUGUACUAUUGGGCAUGGAUUCUUUUCAAACUUUUAGUGUCUUGUCCUAAGCCUGCUUUUAAAUCAAUUUGUGAAUCUUUUAAUCAUGCAGUUGUGUUUGCAUGGUCUCUGAGAUUUGUUGAUGAACUCGUUCAUUCCAUUUUAUAAGUAGAUGCUUUGUGUGAUGCUAUCUUUGCUACAGGGUUUGUUAUGCAAGUUCAGACAUGCAAAUACCACGUUGCAUUUGUGUUGGACUUUAACCUUUUCAUGUGUCAUGUCUUCGCAGAAUUAGAACAGACAUGCAAAUACCACGUUGCAUUUGUGUUGGACUUUAAUCUUUUCAUGUGUCAUGUCUUCGCAGAAUUAGAAGCCACUACCGAAGCCAUGAAAUAGUUCUGACUAUCAAUGGCAUGUAGAGGAAUCGAACAAAUGGGCAUUUCUGGUCAUGAAUAUGGUGGACUUGUUAACAGUGGGGUUACUCGACGAAUAGUGAAAAUGUGAAAAAUUAUGGAAGUAAUCGAUGUCUCUUUUUUUGCUCUUUUUAUCAUGUGAAGUAGCUUCGAACUCAGUUAUGCAGCUGACAUGACGAAGGGAAGACGUGAGAGUUAUGGAAUAUAGUACAUACAAAUCUUGCACAUAUAAUUGAUCAUAUAAUUGAUCAUGUGCUAGAGAGUAGUGUGUGCAUACAAAGUGUGGUCAGUAUGUAGAUAAGAUAUUUGUAUUGUUAAUAUAUAGGGAUAGGUACUUUGAACUAUAUUUGAGAAGUUUUGGAAAUUUCUAUAAUUAGGGUUAGGUUAGUGGAUUAGAUAGGAUCCACCUUGGUAUAUAUUUAAAAUAAUUUAAGAUUAUUAUCUAAAUAGGAUUUAUUAUAGAACCUUCAAGAGAAAAUUGAGGGAGGUUGUGUAGAUGGGGCCCAUUGUAGAAACCUCUAAUAAGAAUUUAAGGUGGUUAUUUAAUUGGAAUCUAUCAUAUAUGAACAUUUUAGAGAGUUCAAGGUGAUUUAUAAAGUAUGAAUAAGACUAACUUGGGCCUUUUGAGUCAUCUGGUUAAGUAUAGCAUCAAAUAUUUUUUCUUAAUACAAUUGGAUUUUGUAUCUUUUUGUUUUAUUUUAUUUUGUUACUUUGGUUUCUUAGUAUUGAAUUUUGUGUUUAUAUUGUUUUUUGUUGUUUAGUUUUUUUUCUUUUGAUAUAGUUUAUCUUAUCUUAUAAUGAAGUUUUAUGUUGAUGUGAAUUAGAAGGAUUUUGAACACUUGAAAUAGAUUAGUUUUAUUUCAUUGAUAUCAAAAUAAGUAUUAGACUAUUCUUUGGUAGUGUGUCAAAAGUCAUCAUUUAAUUCAAGGUCAAUUGUUGUGGUCUAAGUGGGUAUCAUAUUGAGGCUACCACAAACUAUUCUUAAAAAGUGAACUGGAAGAUGAGAAGAUAUAAUAGUAGAGUCCAACAAUGAAAUUAAAGCAUGAGAGAUAUGGUGGAGCAAUCUCUCAUAGAAGCUCAAAUACAACACCUCUUAAAUUAGAUAUUUACCUUCCAAGGGCAAGUAGAAGUCUUAUUAGGCCUUGUGUAUGGAGAGUCAACAUCUAUUAGGUUGAAAUUGAGAAAGCUUACUACAUACUAUAGAACUUCAAGACAAGAAGAUGUAUAUCAAUGGAUCUUUAACAUGCGACAAUAUUUCUAACUAUCUAAGGUAAAUACUACUAAAAAAUUAUUUAUUCAUCUAGUUAUUUGACAAAUGCGAUAGCCAUUUAGUGAUAACAUUGACUUCAAAGCUAUGGAACUUAUAGUGGAUUUUGUGAUUGGAAGGAAUUUGAUAUCGAGUUUAGGAAUCAAUUUUUGCCCAUUAAUGUAGAGAAGAUAGCAUGCAAUCAGCUGAUAAAUCUUACACAAUCUAGGUUGGUGGAAGAUUAUGUCUUGUGAUUCAAAUCCCUAUGUCUCCAAAUUGACAAUGUUUUGGAAGCAAAGAUGAUGGAUUGAUUUCUACAAGGUUUGAAAUUUGAAAUCUUGUGAGAGCUAGAACUAAUAGAUCCACAAACAUUCAAAGAUGUAAUUUGAAUUGCAAAGAAAGUCAAUGCUAUAGAUUUCAAUAAUCAUAGAGCAUUACUUAUAGCACAAAGUCUUAUGCUGCUAUCUAAUAGUUAUGGCACAAUAAUCAACGGCAAUGGAGAUUGAUGCUUUACAAGGAUCAUUGAUACCACAAAGACCACAAAUAUUGGUACAAAAGGGAUUAUAUUUUUAUUGUCAGGAAUAAGGCCAUUAGAUUGGAAGUUGUGCAAAACGUCAAAUUCAAGCACUAGCAAAAUAAAGUGAGUUUAUAAUUUCAAAACCCACCAAGUCAAUAAUGAGAUAGAGUAGGAAAACAAGGCUCCCUAGUAAAAGUAUCAAGGGCUAGUAUUGAAAAUAACUACUUUUUCUCAAAGACAAAUGGCAUUGCUUCAGACAAUUAUAAAAAAAGUUGACUAAUGCAUCUAAUGGGAGUACUAAGAAGACAAUCAUGUUGAAUGCUUGUAGAUUGUGGCUCUACAAAAAAUUGCAUCUCAAGUAAAAUUGCUAACCAACUUGGAAUUAAAACUAAGACAAUCAAGGGAGGAACAAUAUACGUUGUAGAUGACCAAGAGAACGUAUUGAGUGAGAUAUGUGAAGAAGAAACCUUCAAAUUAAUUGAUACUUAUGUCUUAAGAGGGAGAAUUAAAGUGACAAAGCUAAGAUAUGAUGUUAUCCUUAGAAUGCCAUGGAUAGAGGUGGAAAAUAAGCAAGUUGAUUACAUAGCAAGGAUUAAAGAUAGUAGAUGUAAGAUGAUUCUUUGCACCUCUGCAUUAAGUGAAGUAGAAAGACAAUGUACAACCAAAGACUUACUCAUAAGAGCAAUCUUUAUGAAGAAGCAAAUAUAGCAUAAGCAAUUCAUACAUACAUACAUAUAUAUAUAUAUAUAUAUAUAUAUAUAUGAUGGUUUUAAAUUUUGCAUUAAUAGUAGAAAAGACAACCAAAGGAGUAAAAUGAGCAAAUCAAUUCAUAUGAAAAUAUCAAGAUGUCUUCUCAAUUAACCUAUCUAGUAGCAUAUCUUUUGAUUGAUGUGCCCCUUUUUUAAUAGAACUAUUGCUUGGAGCCAAACCAACAAUUCAACCUAUUUAUUGCCUAACACCAAAAGAACUUAAAGAAUUGCGAAAGACAUUGGUUGAACUCUUGGAAAAAAUCAUCAUUCAAGAAAACUCAUCACUAUGGAAAGCACUUAUAUUCUUUACACCCAAGAAAGAUGGUAGACUUUGUCUUUGCAUUGACUAUCGAGGUUUUAAUAAGUAAAAUAUUAACAAUGCAUAUCUACUUUUAUGUAUAGUUGAUCUUCUUAACUAAUUUUAAGGUACGACCAUCUUUAGUAAAUUAGAUCUUUGAAGUGUCUAUGGGCAGACACUUAUUGCAAGAAAGGAUAUAAAAAAGACAACAUUUUGUAUGCGCUAUGGAUAUUUCAAAUGAUUGGUUUUACCUUUUGGCCUUACUAAUGCUGUGGCUUCUUUCAUGAGUCACAUGAACAGAUUGUUUUAGGACCUUUUGGACAAGUAUGUAAUUAUCUUCAUUUAAAAUAUCCUUUUAUAUAGUAAAAUCUUUGAAGAAUAUAAGCAACACGUAUAAGAAGUGCUACGUCAACUAUAAGAUAGUUACUUCUAUUACAAGCAAUCAAAAUGUGAACUUUGAAAGUCAAAAGUCACCUUUUUGAGGCAUGUGGUGUCCUUCAAAGAUACGCGUAUGGAACAAGAUAAGGUGAAAGUACUAAAAGAUUAGCUAACCUCUAAGGAUGCUUUUGAAGUAUGCUCAUUUUUAGGCCUUGUUGGAUAUUAUUGCCAUUUUUUUUGGCGAUUUGCACACAUUGUCGCCUCAUUAACAAACCUAUUGGUGAAGGAUGCUCUAUUUGAGGGGAAAUUAAAAUAGCAAAGCACCUUUGAUUUGUUGAAGGAGACACUCAUUACUACUCCAAUAUUGCAACCAUAUGAUCUCAACCUUUCUUGUAUGUUUGACAUUGAUGCUUUUGACUUUGCUAUUAGAACAGUCCUUCAAUAAGAUUUUGGUAAGGGCCUUCAAUUUGUUGUAUAUUAAUCAUGCAAGCUCAAAAAGGUAGAGCAUAAUUAUUUUAUAUGUGAUUGAGAAUAAUUAGUGAGUACACUUGCCACAAAGCUAUAACAAUAUUGUUUGUUAGGGGAGCUAAUGGUUAUUCUGACUAAUCAUUGAUCCUUCCUAUAUAAUUUGUAUAUGAAAAAUAUGAAAUCACGACAUUAUUGUUGGAAAGAACAAUUGCAGCUUUUUUAUAUCAAACUUAAGUAUAACCAAAGGCGACAAUAUAUUGUAUCAGAUAGCUUAUCAUGGAGACUAGACUUGGAAGACAAAUCGGGAGUUAAGGUAGAAGUUGCUACUAUUAGUAUUGUCAUUUCAAACCUAACCAAAGAGGAAGAAUGGAAGGAAGCUAUGUAUAGAGAUGCUUAUUUUAAGAUGAUUGAUUAAAAGACGGUGAUAUAUAACAUUAAGAUUAUAGUCUUAGAGAUGGCUAAAUCUAUUUUUAAAAUCAAAUUUAUAUACCUGACAAUGCUAUAUUAUAAAUGUACAUACUUAAAGAGGGACAUAACAUCCCAAUAUUUGGACAUUUGGGGUGAGAAAAGACUAUAGAACGGAUCUCAAGGACAGAGAUUUGAGUAAGUUUGGAUUGUAAUACUUAAGCUUUUAUAUAUUCUUGCGAAUCAUGUCAACGUAAUAAAGCACGCAACACAGCAUUUCUUGAACUAUUGCAGCUAAUUUUGCUAUCUACGGCAUGUUGGAAGGAUGUGACUAUAGAUCUCAUUACAUGUUUGCCGCAGGCACUUCAUAAUCAUACCACAGUUGCUAUCUUUGUAGAUUGACUCUCGAAGCAACUUCAUUUGGCUAAGGUAUACUUAGAUAUUAAUGUCCUAGCACUUGCACGACUCUUCUUUGAUAUUAUCUUUUGUUACUAUGGAUUAUCUCAUGUCAUUAUUUUAGAUCAUGAUCCACGCCUCAUAAAAAGUUUUUGGCAAGCCUUGUUUAAGCUAUUAAGUACACAACUUGCCAUAUCUACAACCUUCCAUCUCUUAAUAAAUAGACAAAUAAAGCGUACAAAUCAGACCCUAGAAGAUAUGAUGUGGACAUUUGUGGUGAUUUAUCAUAAUGAUUAAGAUGAGUUCUUGAUGCCUUUGGAGUUUGUUUAUAAUCAUAGUAUUCAAGUAAAUAUUGGUCAUUCACUAUUUUUUCUUAAUACUAGUCAGCAUCUAAUUAUGCCAACAACUCUCUAUGGUUCUAUGAACACCAACAAUCUGACAACAAAGGAAUUUAUAUGAUGGCUUACGAUGGCCUUACAAGAGGCACUAUACUACCUCUUUACGGCAUAGAAUCAAUAGAAGUAGUAUGCAGAUAACCAUCGGUAAUACAAGACCUUUUGGAAGAGUGUUCAAGUCUUACUUUCUAAUACCAACUUACCACUUGGUACAUCAAUUCAAACCAUAAACUAGUACUUUAAUGGCUUGGACCUUUCCGUAUUUCUAUAGUGAUUUUUGAUGUCGUAUUCUGCCUCAAGUUUUUGCGAUAUAUUUGGGUCCAUCCAAUCUUCCAUAUUUUACAAUUGAUGGAAUUUCAUAUAAAGCCUAAGCACUUUUCAAAUCAACACCAAUCACCACCACUAUCAAUUGUAGUUGAUUACGAACAAGAAUAUAAAGUGGACAAAAUUUUGGAGCAUUGCUACCUUCUUGUGGCAGUGGACGUCCUCAACUUUAAUACAAAAUUCUUUAAAAAGGGUAUUCUAUCCAUGAUGCAAAGUGGGAACUUACACAAAACUUCAUCCAUUGCCAAAAGAUAAUUUAGAGAUACCAUUGGGAGUAAAAUGAGGAUAUUUUCUAUUAAUAAAAGAGGAUUAAUUAUAACAUGAUAUAGAUAAGAUAUUUGUAUUAUUGGCACAUAAAGAUAGGUAGUUAGAACCAUAUUUGAAAAAUCAUAGAAGUUUUUAGAAUUGAGAUUAGAUUAGUAGAUUAAAUAGGGUCUACUAUAGAACCUUCUUAAAAGAAUUUAAGGAAAUAUUUAAGUAGAAUCCAUUAUCUUAGAACAUUCUAGAAAAUCCAGGGUGGUAGAACAAAGUAUAAACAGGAUUCGCCAAGGCCUUUUGAAGCAUCUAAUUAGCUAUGGCUUAAGAUCCUUUCUCUUAAUACAACUGGGUUUUAUAUCUUCAUGUUUUGUUUUAUUCUGUUCUUAUUUUGAUUGUUGAAUUUUGGCUUUUGUGUCUCUUUCUGUUUAAUUUUGUAACUUUGUAGAAAUAUAAAUAUCUCAAAUCAAAAUAAAUGAAAUAAGUAAUUGAUAUAAACAUGUUUAGAAGGGAAUUACCAAUAGAUUCAAGUAAAAAUUACCUCAAAUUAUGAAAUAUUGAUAUCCAAAGAAGAUCAGUUGUCAAUUUAGAUCAAAAUAAAAUCUUGAGACACAAAAUUAUACACCUAUGGCAGCUCCGGGGUUCUUUUGGAGAUUAAAAAGUAGGAUUCGGUUAAGAUUUAUUUAAGAUUUAUUUAAGAUUUAUUUAAGAUUUAUUUAAGUUUUUUCUAAUGAUUUUUUAGGAUUUCUCAUGGAUUUCGUUUAGAUUUUUGUAGGAUUUCUUUAAAGUCUUUUUAUGAUUUUUUAUGAUAUUUAUUUUAGAAAUAUUUUAGAAUUUCUUCAUGUUUCUUUUGUAAUAUCUUUCAAAUUUCUAUUGGAUUUGAUUUAAGCUUGAUUGAUAUUACUAAAGUUUAAUUUUAGUUUAUUUAAGAUUCUAUUAGAGUUGUUAGAAUCUUAUUGUUGCAAUUUUCCUUCUACCUUCUAUAGCCAAGUGCCUAGUACAUUCUCAAGCAAGAUUUCAUGUAAUACGACAACAUAGCUUUUAAUUAAGAGUAUAUAUGGAGAUAAGAAUGAAGCUUUUUUUACUCUUGUCAAUGCCUUUCUUGUCUUUAAUCUUAUUUCAAAACUUUCUAUUUUUCUUGUCUUUGGCAAUAGCCAUUUUAGUUCAAUGCUAUGUUAUCUUUAAGUGAUUUUUUAGUCUUUUUAAUGACACAAAAGUAUAUUGAAGUUUUCUUUGUUCAAAAUUCAUGCCCUUGAUAGUUUAAGAAAAGCAUUAGAUUACUAUUCUUAUCUUAUUUUAGAAGUAAAUCAUUCUAGUUCUAUUAUUUUAUUUUGAAGAUUAUAAACUAUCCAACUUUAAAUAAAUAAUAUUCUUUUGUAACACUCAUUUUUUUCUUAAAAAAAGUGGAUUAUUCUUUUUUGUAGAAAUUUUUAUUUAAUAGUAGAUGUUACAGAUUUAUCUCUCUUUUAAUUUAAUUUUUUAAAUUUAUUUGAAUUAUGUAUAGAAGAAAAACUUAUAGAUGCUAUUAUCGAUAAAAAUGAAAAUAAAUUUGCAACUAUUGAUGAUGCAUUCUAAGAGUCAAAAUUUCAUAUAUUUCCAAUAUAAAUCAUGGAAGUACUAUUCUUAUAUGUAUGGAAGAAUUUCAGAGUCUAUAUCAAGAAAUUAUGGAGUUGAAGGAAGCAAGUAGAUCAACUCCAUAACCAAAUUUUAAAAUUUUUACUUUUGUAAGUAUGAUAGAGACAAGGAUUAAUAUGCUUAAGAAGUUUGAUGGAAUAAAAAUAAAGUUUUAAGGAUUUUUGCAAGAAGUUAAGCUCUAUUUAAGAUUACAUCUCUUCUAAUAUGUUGAUAGAUUUAUUCAAAUUAGGUUCAUAUACCCACUUCGAUUUAGAAGAGCUCUCUUUUAGUUUGUACUUUUAAUAAAAAAUAAUUUAUAAUUCUUUUAUGAUUUAAUUUCAUUUCUAAAAGUAUAUAUUGCUAUAUUUGAAAAAAGUGAUCAAAUAGAAAUAACAAAGAUCAAGCUCUUAUUUUUAUAAUAAAAAUUAAACUAGCCACCAUAUAUACUGAUGAAUUUUAAAACCUCGCUUGCGAUGUGGAUUAGAAUGAUAAAGCCCUUAUCAAUUAAUUUCUAUAUGGAUUGAAAGAUAACACCAAAGAUUUAUUAUUAACAAAGCCAAAAGCAUAAUCUUUGAAAUAAUUUAUUGCUCAAGCCAUUAUAUGUGAUAAUUGAUUAUUUAAAAGUAUUAAGAACAAAGACUUGGGUCGAGAAAAAUAACUCAAGUAUUGAUGGCAGCUUCUAAAGUUUUUAAAAACUUAUUCACUAAGAUUGGAAUCAAUAAAAAUUAAUAUAGUUCAUUUUAAAUUUCUUAUAUAGUAAGAAAAAAUUCAAUAUCAUCAAAAAGAGUUAUGCUUUUAUAAUGAAGAAGCUAAGCACACUGCUCAAUAUUAUUCAAAGAAGCAAUGCAAUCACAAAAUAAAAAAUGCAAUUACUAAAGAAGCUAAUUUAUCAAAAAAUAAGUUUCUCUAAUAACAAUAAAAAUCAUGUGGUUGAAAUCAUAUACAAUACCAAGUAAAGGUCUUAUUUUUUCCUCAAAUCUCUUACCUUGUUUUAUAAUAGAUGUAUGUUUAGGAUAUAAAAAUCACAAAGUCUUUAUAUUAUUAGAUUUAAGAACCUUAGCUUGUUUUAUAAAUAAAUAAUUUAUUAUAUAUAUAUAUAUAUAUAUAUAUAUAUAUAUAUAUAUAUAUGUUUAGUCAAGGAAAUUAAAUCCCUAUCUGUAGAAGUCAUAGAUGGUCAUUUUUGUCUUUUGGAGAUAUUAUCUAUAAGAUUGUUAUUUUAGAUGUAGUAAAAAAAGAUAAUAAUAGUAUAGUAAUAUUUAAUAUGAUAAGAUCUCUAUGUAAUCUAAUUAUUUUAGAAUUACCAUAGAUAAAAAAUAUAAUCUUAAAUAAAUUGAAUUUUUCAUAACCUUAAUUUUUUUGGUAGUUUAAUCCAAAAUUCUAUUAGUUAAGUAAAAAUACAUAAGUCUAGUAUAUCCAAAUUCUUAUUAGUAAGAAUAAAAGCUUUCAUAUAUGUCACAAAAGAAGGGUCAUCUUUUGCUAUAUAUGUCACACUCAUCUUUAAUAGUAAAAAGAUAAGUAAUAUUCAUAGUCAAUAUUAAGAUUUUCAAGACGUUUUUGAAAAAAAAAAUGUAUAUAUAUUCUUUCAAAGCAUCAACUUUAUGAUUGUUUAAUUGAUUUGUAAGAAGAAGCUCAGCCACCAUUUAAACCAAUCUACAACUUAUCACAAAAUAAGUUAGUUGUACUAAAACAAUACAUUGAUGAAAAUUUGGCUAAAAACUUCAUAUAUCAUUCAAAAUCUCCAAUAAGAGCUCUUAUCUUAUUUGUGAAGAAAAAACAUGGAUCUUUGUAAAUGCGUAUAGACUAUUGAGGACUUAAUAAGAUCCUUAUUAAGAAUAGAUAUCUCCUAUUUUAGAUUUUAUGACUUUUUGAUCAACUCAACAAAACACAGAUCUACACAAAAAUAGAUCUACAAAGAGUUUAUAAUUUGAUAUGUAUUAAAGAAGGAGAUGAAUAGAUAAUUAUAUUUUGAAAUAAAUAUGGACAUUUUAAAUAUAAUAUCACACCAUUUGGACUCACAAAUAUACCAAUUUCUUUUUAACAUCUAAUGAAUGUUGUUUUUUUAUGACUUUUUUGAUAAUUUUGUCAUUUAUUAUUUAAAGAACAUCUUAAUCUACUCUAAAAAUACAAAAGAGUAUGAAGUUUAUGUUUAUUAUGUGUUACAAAAAUUAAGAUAUACAAGACUAUAUGCUAAAUUAAAAAAGUGUAUAUUCUAUAUUACUAAAGUUAACUUCCUAGGAUACAUCAUUUUCAACAAAAUGCUAAUAAUGGAUCCAAAAAAAGUCCAAACUAUCAUAGAUUGAAAGAUUUCAAGAAUAGUAAAAGAUGUAUAAUGUUUUUUGGACUUUGUCAAUUUUCACCAAAUCUUCAUCACGGAUUUUUUUCAAGCUAUAGCUACACUUAUAUGUUUGACUUAUAAAAACAAACUUGAGUAGAAUAAAGAAGCCAAAGCAUUAUUUGAUGCUUUAAAAAAGGAAUUUACUUCUAUACUAAUCUUAUAUUAUGUUGACUUUUUUAAGAAAUUUUUUAUGGAAAUAAAUACAUCAGACUUUGUCCUGGAUGUAAUAUUAUCAUAAAUAGGAGUAGAUGAAAAACUCCAUCUAAUAGCUUUUUAUUCUAAUAAAUUUUCAACAACAAAGAUUAAUUAUAAGUUCCACAAUAAAAAACUUUUUAUAAUCAUAGAUUCAUUUUUAAAAUGGCAUCAUUAUCUAAAAGGUUCUUCACAUCUAGUCACUAUAUAUACAUAUCACAAGAACUUCAAGUACUUCAUAUCUAUAUGUAUUUUUAAUUAACACCAAGCUCGUUGGAGCAUGUUUUUAUCAAGAUUUGAUUUCAAGAUCACUUAUUGACUCCAAAAAUAAGAUUUAUCAAACAUCCUUUUUAGACAUUCCUAUCUUAUACCAAAAGAAAGAGAUGCAACUUUUGAUUAAUAAAGAAUAAUUUUCUUGAAGAAAAAGAAUUUUUACCUUUAAGUGAUAAAAUCAACAUUAGCUAUUGAUUCAACCUUGUCAAGCAAAUUUAAUCAAGUAUGUCUUUUGAUCCUUUUAUUCAUGAUAGUAAAAAUACAUCUUUUAAGUCUCAUAAUAUUUUUAAGUUUGAGUUCAAGAACAACUUACUUUAUUUUUAGGAACAAUUGUAUAUUCUAAAAGGUAAGGUAUAAUUACAUAUUCAUUAAACUUAACAUGACUUUUUAGGAGUUAGACAUUUUGGAUACAAUAAGACUUUAGAGCUAAUAUCAAGCGAUUUUGAGUAGUCUCAAAUAUGGAAGUCAGUCAAAGACUUUGUACAAUCAUGUGAUAUUUGUUGAAGAUCCAAAAUUCCUUGCCAUUGAUCUUAUAAACUUCUUCAACUAAUGUUUAUUUUAAAACAAUGAUAGUCUUAUGUUUCUAUGGAUUUUAUCACAAAUCUUCCAGUCUCAAGUUUGUAUGAUUCUAUAUUUGUGAUAGUAGAUCUUUUUAUCAAGAUGGCAUAUUUUAUAUCAUAUAUUUAAUCUAUUAGAGAUGAAAAAAUGGCUAAAUUUUUUUUUGACAAUAUCUAUUGCUAUUAUGAAUUGCUCAAAGAUAUUAUAUGGAAUGAAAGGAUUCAAUUUAUAUCUAGAUUUUAAAAAACUUUUUUUAUAAUUUUAUAAGUAGAUAAAAAGCUUUUUUUUACUUUCUAUCUUCAAACCAAUGGGCAAACAGAAUGGAUGAUUCAAGUUUUUGAAUAAUAUUUGCGGUGUUCCAUCAAUUAGCAUUAAGAUGAUUGGAUAAUUCUUUUACUAUUGAUAGAUUUUAAGUACAAUAAUAUAAUACAUAAUUCUACUCAAAAAACAUCUUUCUUUGCUAAUUAUGAUUAUCAUCCAUAACUUGAUACUUUUGAAUUUUUAAAAAUUAAUAAUCCUGCAAUAUAAGAUUUGCCAAAUCAUUUGUAAGAGUUAUAUGUAAUAAUAAAGGUGCAAUUAAAAGAAGCUUAAGAAUAUCAAAUGAUCAAUGCUGAUGCUUAUUGCAAAGAACAACUAUAAUUUAAUAUGGAUGAGAAUAUAUAGCUAUUUUAUCGCAAUAUUAAGACUAAUUGUUUCUGUGACAAGUUAGACUAUUAUAGGCUUUGGUCUUUUUUUAUUGAUAAAAAAAUAAAUCUUAUUACUUAUUGAUUAUAUCUAUGUCAAGGACAUGAAUCUAAAAAAAAGAAAGUCCUCAAUACACUCUUGUGUCAUUGAAGAGAACUAAAAAAUCACUCAAAAGGUGAUAUAAUAUUAUACUAGAAUGGCUAUUGCCAAAAAUAAAAAAACUAGAAAGUCUUGAAACAAGACUAAGGACUAAAAAGGCAUUAACAAGAGUGAAGAAGGCUUAACUCUUGCCUCCAUAUAUACUUUCUAACUAAGAGCUACAUGGCGAUGUCCUAUAGGAUCUCCAACAUGUGUUGACUUUUCUAGCGACAUGUCUUAACUUACAAGGCAAGUUAUCUAUAUAUGUGCCAUAUAGUAAGCUUGUUCUACAAAUUAUUACACGAAGAUAACUUGUUCCAUAAGCUACCUAUAUAUGGUUAGCUUAUUGGCCAAGUUUCUAACCUACAAAUGCAUCUAAAGUCAAAAUUUUAUUUAUGAAGUUUUUAGGAAGCUUGUCUAGAAGACUUUAUGAAAUUAAUAUAUAUUUACGUACUUCUAUCUAAUCAUAUAAGUAACUAUUGGAAUAAAUGUUUAUAUUUGUGACAUUACUUCUCCUUCUAGGGACAAGUUCCACGAGGAGCAAUCUUUAUAUAUUGAAAAAGUCCAAGAUGCGGCAAAUUAUAUUUGAUACAUACUCCAAACUUUAUUCUCUUUGAAGAUGGUUGAUAGGUCCUUUCAGCCAUCUAUAAUAGAGUGAAAAGACCACCCCAUUAUUUGAUUGCUGUUGAGGCCUUCAUAAUUUCUUUCAAAUAAAACAUUUGGAACACCGUCAAGAGUUAUUCCUAUCUCUAAUAAAAUCACUAAAUAUUAGGAGUCUCUUCCAAGGUCAUGAUACCAAACACGUUGUAGCUUGCCAUUUAUUCAAGGAAGGACAUGUUGCUCUUGAAGAUCUUCAUUUCGAUUUUUGUCAUCUUGAAGGUUGUGACAAUUGUAAUGUCUCGUCUAAUAAAUCUGCAAAUAAAAGCUCUUGAAUUGAAUCUGCUAGUUGUUGGUAUUCCAUCUCCUUAAUAUCAAAAAUACAUAGAAGCUAUGAAGAAAGAUAGAAGAUAGAAUGUUAUCUUCCUUUGAUCUUAUUUCUUUUAUAGCAAAGAUUUAUUAUUCUUCAUCUUGAUUUUGAUGGAUGCCGUUGAUGAAAGACUUCAACUUUCUUUGCUAUAUUUAUAAGAUUCUUUGAUGGCUCCCACGUGUAUUCACUAAUAUCAUAUCCAUGCCAAUAAACAAGAUAUUUCAACCUAUUUUGGCACCGCCUUAAGUCUAAGACUUCUUCUACCUCAAAUUCUUGGUUAUUAUUCAUUUCUAUACGAAGAAGUGGCAUUUAUCUUCUUUCCAAGAUAUUUACUAUCUUAUAUGGCUCAAGAAGAGACAUGUGAAAUAUAGGGAGGAACUUCAUAGACUUUGGUAGAUGUAAUCAAUAAAAAAACAUAAUUGAUUUGUUCACAAAUAGAAAAAGAUCUCAGCCAACAAUAAUCUAACUUAUCACACGAAUGAGUAGUCUUAAUAUUAUGAUGAAGUAACCAUAUCUUGUUACCUAUAUUAUAUUGUGGUUUUUCCUCGCAAUAAGCAUCCGCGUUGUUUUUUUGUCGUUCUUGAGCUUCCUUUAAUUGUAUCUUCAUUAUUGCAUACAACACUGACAAGUGAUUUCCUAAAUCUUUUGCUGUAGGAUUAUCAACUUUUAAAAAGUCAAAAGUAUCAAUAUAUAGAUGAUAACCAUAAUUGGCAAAGAAAGAUAUUUGUUAAGAUGAAGAAUGUACCAAAUUAUUAUAUGUAAACUUUGCCAAUGGUAAAAGAAUUGCCCAAUCAUCUUGAUGAUAGUUGAUAGUACACCUCAAAUACUACUCCAAAAUUUGAUCCACUCGUUCUAUUUUUCCAUCAAUUUGAAGAUGAAAAGUUGAAAAGAGCUUUAUAUCCACCUCAAGAAUCUUGAAUAGGAUUCUCCAAAAUCUUGAUACAAAUUGAGUCCCCCUAUCCAAUAUAAUAUCUUUUUGCAAUCCAUGAUAGCGAUAGAUAUUGUCAAUAAAAAGCUUACCUGUUCUUUCACUUGAAAUAUAUUUUGUACAUGGUACAAAAUGUGCCAUUUUGAUGAAGUGACCUAUAAUUACAAAUAUAGAGAUGUAUGCAUUUGAGACCAGAAGAUAUAUGAUAAAAUCUAUAAAAACAGAAGACCAUGGUUGUUUUAGAAUUGGUAGCGAUUGAAGAAGUCCAUAAGGUUCAUAGCAAGGAUUUUUGCAUCUUGAACAAGUAUCGCAUGAUUGUACAAAGUCUUUGACUGCCUUCCAUAUUUGAAGCCACCAAAAAUCUCUUGAUAUUAGUUCCAAAGUCUUAUUGUAUCCAAAAUGUCCAACUGCUAGAAAAUCAUGACAAGCUUGAAGGACACAAUGUCAUAUUGCGUCAUUUUCUAUCUAGGAAUACAUUGGAUACCUAGCUGUAGAGAAUUUAAUUUUAACUUAUUGACAAAGCUCCAAUAAGUUAUUUAACCUUUUAAGUAGAUGACAAAUAAAUACGACAAUAACAAAAAGAUAUUGUAUUAAUAAAACUUUUUGUAUUUAAAAAGGUUUGUACAUAAGAAUUUCUAAAUCCUCUAGAAAUUCCUUGACAUUCUUGGCUAUAUCAAAUCAUAACUAACCAUUUGCUAGUAGAUUAGAUUUUCAAUAACUUCAAAGAAAAUCCAUAAUCUGCUCUCAAAAAUUCAUCUUUAUAUAAAAAUUUAACCAUAGCUUCAAAUAUACAUUUUCAUCAUAUAUAUAAAAUCUUGGCUCCCAAAAAACUCCUUUAUUUUGUAUAAAAUGUUCAAGUUAUAAUAAAAUCUAUUCAAAAUAUAAUAUUCUCAUAAAAGAUUUUUUCUUUCCAAACUUUAGAAAUUCAUAACUCUUGAUUCAACUGUUUAGUUUUUUUUCAAAUUCACAAGUAAUAUAGAAUUUAUCCAUAAGCUUUAGCUCAAAAAAAAUAUAUUAUUUUUAUAUGAUAGUCAAACUAUAACAUGACAACAUAAUCAUGCCUCGCCUUAAUGAAUAUAUAGGCAAUCUUUGAAAUAUAAUAGGUUGUUCUUGAAUUCAAACUUUGAAGUGUCAUAGGACUUAGAAGAAGUAUUCUUGAUAUCAUGAAUAAGAGGAUCAGAGAACAUACUUGAUUGAAUUUGCUUGAUAAAGGUUGAAUCAAUUUUCAAUGUUGAUUUUAUUGCUUGAAGAUGAAAAUGCUCGGGUUUCAAGAGAAUUAUUCUUUAUUGAUCAAAAGAUGCAUCUCUUUCUUUUAGUGCAAGAUGAAAAUGUUUAAAAAGGGUAUUUGAUUAACCUUCUUAUUUUGUGGAUCGAUAAGUGAUCUUGAAAUUUAAUUUGGAUAAAAACAUGCUCCAACAAGCUUGACAACUAUUCAAAAUAUGUGCUGACAUGAAGUACUCAAGAUUCUUAUGAUUCAUAUACAUGGUGACUAGACUUCAGGUGCUUUUUAGAUAAUGAUGCCAUUCUUGAAAUGAAUCUAUAAUUGCAAGGAAUUCUUAAUCAUAGAUUUCAUAAUUAAUCUCGGCUACUCAAAUUUUUUUGGAGUAGAAAGCUAUUGGGUGGAAUUUAUCAUCUAUUCUCAUUUGUAACAAUAUGACAUCCAUAGGAAAGUCUGAUGUGUCUAUUUCCAUAAAAAAUACCUUAGAGAAGUAAACGCAAUAUAAGAUUGGUGGAAAAAUAAACUCUUUCUUUAAAGCAUCAAAUGAUGCUUUUACUUCUUUAUUCUACUUAAGUUUGUCUUUACAAAUCAAACGUGUAAGUGGAGCUACAACUUGAAAAAAGUUCUUCAUAAAGAUUUGGUAGUAAUUAGCAAAGCCCAAAAAGCAUUGAACAUCUCGUCUUGUUCUUGGAACCUUCCAAUCUAUGAUUGUUUGGACCUUCUUAGGAUCCAUCAUAAGGCCUUUAUUAAAAAUAAUGUAUGCUAAAAAGUCAACUUGAGUAAUGUGGAAUACACACUUUUUCAACUUAGCAUAUAAUCAUGUAUUUUUAAGUUUUUGUAGCACACGACAAACAUGAAGUUCAUGUUCUUCUAUAUUCUUAGAAUAGAUUAGAAUGUUGUCUAAAUAGCAAAUAACGAAUUCAUCUAGAAAGUCACAAAAAAUAUCAUUCAUAAAAUAUUGAAAAGCGGUGGAUGUAUUCUUGAGUCCAAAAGACAUGACAUUAUAUUUAAAAUGUCUAAACCUAGUUCAAAAAGUAGUCUUCCACUCAUCUCUUUUUUUGACACAAAAUAAGUUGUAUGCUCUUUGUAAAUCUAUUUUGGUAUAGAUCUUUGCUUGAUUGAGUUGGUCAAAAAGUCUUGAAAUUAAAGGCAAAGAAUACCUAUUUUUGAUGGUGAUCUUUUUAAAUCCUCGAUAAUUUACACACAUUUAUAGAGAUCCAUCUUUCUUCUUUAUAAAUAAGAUAGGAGUCCUAACUAGAGAUUUAAAAUAACAUAUGAAGUUCUUUGCCAAGUUUUCAUCAAUGUGCUCCUUUAAUGCAGCCAAUUCAUUUUGCAAUAAGCUACAGAUUAGUCUAAAUAGUACUUAAGCUCCUUCUUACAGAUCAAUUGUACAAUCAUAAGGUCAAUGCUUUGAAAGAAUAUGUGCUUUUAAAAAAAAAAAAAACCAUUUUAGAAUUCUUGAUAUUGGCUAAGAAUACCACUUGAUAUUUUUUUUACCAUUAGAAAUAGGCAUAGUAUAUAUAGCAAAAGAUGAUCAUUCUUUUGCAGCAUGUAUGAAAGCUCUUGCACCUAGCAAUAAAAGUUUGGAAGUACUAAAAUUUUGUACUUCUAUUUCACUAACUCGAUCUUAGAUUACACUAUCAAAAAAGUUAAGGUUACAAGAAAUCUAAUCUAUUUGACGGUUAUAUUUUUCUAGCCACAAUAAUCCUAAAAUAACUACAUUGGAGGGAGAUCUUAUUACAUUAAAUACUACUACAUUGUUAUAAUCUAUAAUUGCUAUAUUUAAAGGAUCAGUCUCAUAAGUAACAUUUCUAAAAGACAAUGAACGACCAUCUAUGACUUCUACAUGUACAGAUUUAGCUUUCUUGACUAAAGGUAUUUAUUGAUUUUUGACAAAAUCUUCAUUUCUAAAACAGGUUGAGGCUCUUGAAUCUAAUAAAGAAAAGACUUUGUAAUUUUUAAUCCUAAAUACACAUCUAUUGUAAAACAAGGUGAAGGAUUUGAACAAAGAAUAAGACUUUUAUUAGAUAUUGUACAUGAUUCCAACUGCAUAAUCCCUAUUAUAGUUGAAAAAACUUAUUUUUUGACAUAUUAUCUUCUUUGGUAAUUGUGCUCCAUAUUUUGUAAUUACGAUUCUUCUUUAGAUAAUGUUAAGUAGUAUGAUUAGCUUCUCCACAAUAUAAAUACAAACCCUCUUGGCAACAUCAAGUCUUUUUUUGCUUUAUUAGAGGUUUAAAAUGUAGUAUAUCAAUUUGCACUUGUUCUGGCCUUUAUUUGAUAAGUUCAAACUUGAGAGUUGCCGCUAUUAUUUGACUUGUUCCUCUCCAAUCAAAUCUUUGUUCUUGACGCCUUUCAAAAAAUCAAUUGUCACAUACAAUGGCUUUGGUAAUAAAUUAUUUUAAAGAUUCUACUUUUGGCAUUGUUAAAAAUAAGUCUUUCACGCUCUCCUUCAAUUCAUAUUAAAAUUGAUUGAUAAAUGCUUUGUCGUUCCAGUCCACAUUGCAAGCAAGGUUUUGAAAUUCAACAGUACAUAUGGUGGCUGAUUGUGAUCUUUGCCAUUGUCAUAGCAAGAGUCCACUUUGAGUAGAUGCAAGGUCCCUCUUUGCAUUUAAAUUGGAUCCAAUAUGCACAAAACCUUCUUAAAUUUCCUUUGAGUAUUUAGAAAACUAUUUUUAUAAUUAACCAACAAACUUGAAGUUUUAAAAAUUCAUAUCUCAAGUUCUAGCCAUCCAAAUAGGCUUAAAAUUUAGAAGUAUGGAACUUACACUUUUGAACAUUAUGACACAAAUUUUCAGUCACAAAUUUGUUACUAAUCAUUUGUUAUCACCAAAUCCUUGACAAGUUCUUUUGAAAGUCAAAACCAAAGUGGAAACUUAAAAAUUCAUAUUCCAAGAUCUAAUCAUUCAAAUAAGCUCAAAAUUUGGGAGUACAAUAUUUACUCCUUUGAACAUUAUUACACAAAUUUUCAGCUGCAAAUUUUUUAUCAAUCAUCUGAUAUCACCAAACCCUUUUUAAGUACCUUUGAAUGUCAAAACCAAACCAAAAACUUGGAAAUUCAUAAUCUAAGAUCCGGCCAUUCAAAAAAAUCUCAAAAUUUGGGAGUAUAGAACUUACAUCUUUGAAUAUCUUUAUAUAAAUUUUUAGCCACAAAUAUAUUACUAAUUCUUAGAUAUCAACAAAAUCUUAUCAAAUACUUUUGAAAGUCAAAAUCAAACCAAAAACUUGAAAAUUCAUAGCCCAAGAUCUAGCCAUUCAAAUAAGUUCAAAAUUUGAAAGUACAAAACUUAUACCUUUGAUCAUCAUUACACAAUUUUUCAACUGCAAAUUCAUUGCCAAUGGACUAGUAUCACCAAAAUCUUAUCAAGUACUUUUGAAAGUCAAAAUCCUAGACACAUGAGAACAAAUUUUAUAAUUUCUCUCAAAUUAGAGUCUCAAUUGAUAUGAGAUUUUAGACGUAGGUUCUUCAUAUCAUAAAUAACAUUUACACAAAAAAUGGGCUUCAAAUUCAUCUUAAAGCUCAAGUACUAGCUAAAAGCCAAAUUCCUCUAUUUCUCUAAUUUCUUCAAAAUCCUAGUAUUAGUUUGCUGGUUUUAACUAGCCAUAAUUCAUUCAUUCUAAACUCACUUCUAUCAAUUUUUACACAUAAAUGUCCAACUUGAAGUCUAGAUUUUAACUCGACUCCUCGAUUUCUUUCUAGUAUCUUUAAAAUCCUAAAAUACACAAAGAGGUGACAAUAGAUAUCAAAUUAGUAGCCUAAGUUUAAAACAAGCAAAGAUCUCUCAUUCGACCUCCAAUUCAAGCAUUUUUUCCACCUAAACUCAUGCCAAGAAGCUCUUCUUUUUGAAUACCUCCUCUCUACUUACAAAAAAAACUUGUCCUUUUGCUACCAAGCUUGUCAAAGAAGUCAUAGCCAAGGUCUUCAAACUACAAGUCAAAAACUAAUAGUUUAAAGUUAAACAAAUACUAAAUCUAAUCCUCUAAGUCAGCACCAUUAAUGGCACCCAACUAAUGCUAUCCAAACUCCCAUUUAUCUUUAAUAAAAAAACCUAAAUACAACCUCAAAGUCAAAAAAAUUUCACACAUCUAUAAAUAUAACUUUGAAUCUAUUAAAUCCAAAGAUUAGAAAGAAAGUAAAAAGAAUAAAAGAAGUUUUCAAGGCUCAUCCAAAGAUAAAGUUAAGGUAAAAGAUAAAAAUAAAAUUUAGCCAAAAUUUUAGAAAGAAAAAAGAAGAAAGUAGAAUUUUUUUUCAAACUAUAAAAAAACUAAAUCGGUAAGAAGAAAAAAGAAAAAAGAAAAUAAAAAAAAGAAAAAAAAAUAAAACAAACAAAACAAACAAAAAAACAAAACAAAACUUAAUAAAAGUUCAAAAAAAAGUAAAUCAAGCAAGGUUUCUAUAUAUGAAUGUAUUUACAUCACAACACCAUAAAGAUAAAAGAUUGAUCUUUGCUACUCUUUCUCGAUCACUUUCUCCGAAUGUGGCCAUAAAUAAUUCUAAGAAUGAAUUCAAAUCAUAAUAGAGUUACAAAUCUUUUUCCAUUAAAGGUACAAACUAAGAAAGAGCACUUUCUAAUAGCAAUGCGCUUAUAAAUCCGACUUGAGUAAAUCCAUCAUGGUAAUAGAAAAGGUGCAACCUUAGAUAGAGCUUGACUUGUUGCAAAAAUCCUUGAAAUUUUAAUCUUGUUCCAUUAAACUUCUCAGGUAUACUCAUCCUUAUCUCCAUCAUACUUGUAGAAGCAAAACUCUCUAGAUUUGGUUGUGAGGUCAAUCUACUUGCUUCCUUCAAUUGAAUAACUUUUUACAGCAGACUCUGAACUUCUUCCAUAGGUGUAGGCAGAGUACUUCCAUGAUUCAUAUGAGAAAUACGUGAGAUUUUUACUCUUAGAGUGUUCACAAGCUCAUAAAGAUCUGCAAUAGUUGCAAAUUUAUUUUCACUUCCACUGAGAGUAGCAUUGAUAAUCUUUUCUUCUAUAAACAACUCAAAUAAAUUCAAAAGUUAAAUUAAAAGAGAGUAAACUGCAACCUCUAAUAAAAAAAUUUCAAAAAAAAAGAUAAUCUACUCUCUUCCAAGGAAAAGAUUAAUAUUAGAAAAUAAGAUUUUUUGUUUAAAGGUGGAUAAUCCGCAACCUUCAAAACACAACAAUAGAAGUGGAAUAAUCCACUCACUUCUAAACAAGACAAAAAUAAUAUGUUAGCACUCUUCUCAAACUAUCAAGGACAUGAAUCUCAAAAAAAGAAAGUCCUCAAUGCACUCUUGUUUCAUUGAAGAGAACUAAAAAAUCACUCAAAAGGUGAUGUAAUAUUAAACUAGAAUGGCUAUUGCAAAAAAUAAAAAAAACUAGAAAGUCUUGAAACAAGACUAAGGACUAAAAAGGCAUUGACAAGAGUGAAGAAGGCUUCACUCUUGCCUCCAUAUAUACUCUCUAACUAAGAGCUACGUGGCGAUGUCCUAUAGGAUCUUCAACAUGUGUUGACUUUCUUAGCGACAUGUCUUAACUUGCAAGUUAAGUUAUCUAUGUAUGCACUACAUAGUAAGCUUGUUCCAUUAGCUAAUUAUAUAUGGUUAGCUUAUUAGCCAAGUUUCUAACCUAUAAAUACAUCUAAAGUCAAAAUUACAUCUAUGAAGCUUUUAGGAUGCUUUUUUAUAAGAAUUUAUGAAAUUAAUCUAUAUUUACUUACUUCUACCUAAUCAUAUAAGUAACUAUUGGAGUAAAUGUAUAUGUCUGUGACAAUCUAUUAGAAUCUAUGAAGAUACAUCCUAUAUUCUAUGUAUCUCUACUUGAGCUAUAUGACAUAAUGAAUAUCCCAAAAAGAAGACAAAUGCCACCUCCUCUUAUAAAAGUACAUAAUAAUUAAGAAUUUGAGAUAGAAGAAGAUUUAGAUUCAAAGCAAUGUCAAAAUAGGUUAGAAUAUCUUGUUCAUUGGCGCAUAUAUGAUACUAAUAAACAUAUAUGGUAGCAAGUAAAAUAUCUUGUAAAUACAACAAAGAAGGUCAAUACUUUUUAUUGACAUCAUCUAUCAAAAUUAAAAUGAAGAGUUGUAAGAUCUAUGAAAGAUGAUAACUAUGGAAUAGGUAAAUAAACUUUGUGGUAAGUUACUAGUUGGUUAUUGACAACCUUGAGAAUUCAAUUGAUGGUUAGGCAGUUUAGUUGGUAACAGUAGGUUGUUAAUAGAAUAAAUGGUUAAGAAUUCAAAGGGUCAUAACCUUUGGAAUCCGCUCGUCGACGGAUCAUCUUUUCAUAGGAUAAAUAGAUUGAGAGUCGUAAUCCAAGGGCCAGACUGAGUGUCGUAAGAUGAGAGCCAGAUUGAAAGUUGUAAGCUGAGGGCCAGAUUGACAAUCGUAAGACGAGAGCCAGACUGAGAGUUGUAAGUCGGGGUAAGCUUGGUGCUACCUCUUUGUUCUCUUUAUUAUUUGCUUAUGAAGAAUUAUGAUUGAGAGAAGUAUUAUUGAAUUGAUAAUCGUAGAAUGGAUUAUGGAUUGAAUUAAGAUGAAAGUAGUAAGCCUCGGUGUUUUAUAGUUUGAUAAUGGAUUUGACAUAGCCAGAGUACAAUCAAUUGUGACACUAACAUAUCCAAUUUAUAUAACCAGUCUUUCCCCGUGUUCGAACCCACCUCUAUUAGUUCAAUUGCUUUGGUCUACUGAAGCUUGAACGCAAUGAGAACAACAUUUUGGCACCGCUAUCGGAGAAAUGAAUAAUAAUAUGAAAUAUUAGAAAUUGAUUUUAUGGAAGAUGGAAUUAUAUGUUGAAUGAGAACGUGAGAAGAAUCAGUUUUAAGGUUACGAAUAUGUGAGUUAUAAUUCAAGGCAGUAUUGAUUUUGUAAAGAAGAAUGAAAGAUUAUGAGUGAUAAUCACAGGAGGGAGGAUUAUCAAAGAAUUAAUCGAUAAAUGAAAGAAAGACAAGAGUGAUUACACAUAAGAAAUAGCCUACGGAAACGACAAAAAAGAAUUGCAGGUCCAAGAAAAACCAAAGGAAGAAAAAUUCAGAUUCAAAUAGUAAAGAGACUAGUGAUAACACCAAUGGCCGUGGAAGUACCAGAAGUACCAAUUGCAGUACAAAUGGGAGCAGUAGGAGACCGAACUACAAGUGUGGCACCAUUACCUAUUUUUAGUGGUUAACCAGACUCUGAUCCCGAUCACCAUAUAUGUCAAUUCUUGACAACUUGCGUGGCUAAUAAUGAUAGAACUGAAGACAUUUGGUUGAGAUGGUUGCCAAUAAUUUUAAAAGAUACAGCUUUUGAAUGGUAUAUUUGGUAAUCAAUGGAUAGAUUUUCUUAAUUGAGAGGCCUUGAGGAAUACCUUCCAAAUCCAUUUUAGACUAAUUGGAUUUGAAGAUCAGCUUUGAGAAAGUUUUAUGAAUAGCAAGAUAUUUGCGAGAGAAUCUGUAGAGUCUUAUUAUGGCCGGAUUGUGAAUAUACUUCUUAAAUGGUCAAAUAAUCAAAUGCCAGAUGCGUUUAUAUUUUCAAUAUUAAAUAACAGUUUGCAUCCACCAGAAUUAAAAAUAUUUGUAAAAGAGGCUCAACCAGCUAUGGUAGAGGCAUCAUUGACACGAGCAAAGGUGUGGAAAGAAUGUCAUUAUGACCAAUUGUUAACAGUAGGAGCCACGAUGAUUCCAAGUUCAAGAAGCCAACAAAUACAACCGAGAAAUAUGUCAAUGGGUAAUUAUCCACAAAUGGCUACCUCUAAUGUGAAGAAUGUAAUGUUGCAACAACCAAUUAAUGCUACACCACUCCAAGCAAUAGCACGAAUAAUGAUGACACCUUAUUUUACAUUGCCAACCUAUCAACAAUCGGAGUUGUUCACAAAUGCGACUGUUAAAGAUCCAAAUGAAGCCUUAUUAUUAAAUCUAACAAAGAAAAUAGAAGAAUUGGCUGUGAAUUUGACUAAAGAUAAAGAGAAACGACAUAAGCCUUCUAAUAUGAGACCUAAUGUAUGGUGUAAUAAUUGUAAGAGACAACGUCAUUUUGAUAUGGAAUGUCCAUCACCCAAAUAAAUGGGUGUUCAAUGUACAUUUUACGGAAGAAAGUACCCUAUCCAAAACUGCUCGCAUUUACAAAGACAACAAUAAUUCAGUAAUCAGACCAUGAUCCCACCGACUCAGUGGCAAGUCAAUCAAGUUCAAAUGGAAAAUACAUAUGGAUGGAAUGGAAAUUGAUCUAAUCGACAAAAUCGAACAUUCAAUAAUUUUCAAAGUUUCAAUUUUAAUCAGGGGUCUUCAUCAAACCCUCAAAACUAUAAGAAGGAGCAAUAGAGGUAUCAGCAAUAUGCUCCAUUGGUGUCAUCAAACAAAGUACCCUUCGUAUAAACAAGACAACCAAGAUCAUUUUCUAACUUUACAUGGAACAAGCCUAGUAGGUAUAUACCAGUGGAGACACUCGAUAUGCCGGAUGAGGUACAAGAAGACCACUUCGCUAUUUCUGUUGUAUACAGAUUGAUCAUUAUGCUAGUGAAUGUCUCAAUUCUAGAGCCAAUGACGAUUAUGCUCUAGUAUGUGUAAAUUGCAAGCAGUCGAGAUAUACUUAUUAGUAAUGUAAUACUCCGUUCAAUUUCAAUAAUCGAAAUCAGUAGAUCCAAAGCUAAGGAAAAAUAGAGGAGAUAAAUUAAGGUCCUCAAGAUUCACCUGUUCAUCAAGUAGAAGUAGUCCAAGCUAUCCUUAUAAGCAGUGAGCAAAAGAAGAAAGGACCAAUUCAACAUUUGAGUGAUCCUGAAGCGAAGGGCCAAUUGGACCCAAUUAUGGGGACAUCCAAUCCAGGUCCUGUCAUGAGCCCCUUACUCAGUAUAAGACCAGAAUCAGUUGUGCACCCUAAUGAAGUACCAAUUAUGGAGGCUUUGAUUUCGUGUCGAGCUGUAUCGUUUUCAAUACAGUUUUGAAAAACAUCUUUUUUGUUGAAAGAUCCUCUAAGAGGCGUGAAUUCCAAAAAACCAAUAUCAGUCCAAUUGAAAGAACAAUCUUAUCCAUUGAAAGAAUCGAUUUUAUAGGCUCCAUCAAAUUUAGUUCCAAUAGCUUUAUCAAUUUCUAAUAUAGAGAAAACCAAUUUACUUGCAUCGAUAUCUAGGACUGGGAAGAAGAAAUGGACAUUAGGAAUUAUGACUACUACAAAAUCAUAUCAUAUUCUAAAAGAUUUGAGCACCAUACUAUCCAUGAUCUCUAUGAAGCAACUAUUGGUGAUAGCACCUAAGUGCCGAACUAUCUUGAAUUCUUCAUUAAUUUGUCGCAGAUUUUGAAAUAAAGAAAUCUGAGAAGUAAGUUUGAAUCCCGAUCCGGGUGCACCUACGAUUGAUGUCUCAAUUGAUGGAGUAUUAUUAUCGAGAGUGCAAGUAGACGGAGGAUCUAGUGUAAAUCUUAUGAAUGCCGUUAUAAUAGAGGAGCUGGGUUUGGAUCACUCAUUGCCUACUACAGUAGUUUUAAGAAUGACUGACUUGAGUCGAGUUAAACCUAUGGAUAUUUUACGAAGUAUUGAUACAAUAAUUGUGGAGAUUACCUACAAAAUUGAUUAUAUUAUUUUUCGAUUGCAAAGCUCUAUAUUGUCAUAUCCAAUUUUAUUGGAGCGACCGUAGUUGCAUCAAGCUAAAGCUCAAAAUGACUAGGACCAUGGUACAUUGACAAUUCGAAAAGGUAAUGAUAAAACUGUGCUUUAAACGUAUCCUGUCCAAUAUCAUAGAAAAAUUCAAGUUGCCAGUUCAAAAUUCACGUCCGAUUGUAAAGAUGAAUCUAUAGAAGAAGAAAUUGGUGCACUUGACCUAAUUUAUGCUAAUACAAAGCAAGUUGUCGAGCAUACUAGAAUGAACUACCAAUGUAGGUGACCGGAAGAGUACUUAGUUCCUCCAGACGUUAUUGACAAUUUUGAUCAUAUGAUUGCAUAUUGGAUGAAUAGACGGGAUGUUUAUCACGUUAGUACUAUGGAACUGGAGUUGGAAAGUUCUAAUGUGUCAAAUUUUAUGAAAGAUUCUAGAAUUGGGUAGAACAUCAGUCCAAGGACUCUUCAAAUUCCACGAUGUCAACCAAUUAAUUUAGGUAUAGGGGAGGCUCCUCAAAUCAUUCAGAUUUACUACGAUAUAAAAGGCGAGGAGAAAGAAAUUUGAGUGGAUUACUUUUUCACGCAUAAAAUUACUUUUACAUGAUCGUAUGUAGAUUUGAAAGGAAUUCUAGCUAAAGUUUGUGAGCAUCAAAUUAUAUUGGAGGAAAAUGCUACACCAGUAUACCAAAGACAACAUCGACUUAAUCCAAAAUACUCACUUAUGGUAAAAGAAGAACUAGAUAAACUCUAGAAGGUUUGAUUUAUCUAUCCGGUUCCUUUCAGUGAAUGGAUUUCACUAAUUGUUAUAGUACCAAAAAAGAAUGGAAAAAUUCACAUCUGUCAAGAUUUUCGAAAAUUAAAUGUGGCUACUAAGAAGGAUUAUUUUUCUUUACUAUUUACGGAUAGUAUAUUGGAUAUCGUCGCUGGACAUGAAUGUUAUUUAUUUCUUGAUGGAUUCUCCAGUUAUAAUCAAGUUAAGAUUACAAAAAAAGACCAAUUAAAAACUACUUUUACUAUGGAUUGGGAGACCUUUGCCUAUAAGGUUAUGCCGUUUGGACUUUGUAAUGUAUCAACUAUAUUUCAAAGGAUAAAGAUGCAAGCAUUCCAAGAUUAUCUAUGAAUUUCAAUGGAAAUAAUUCUAAAUGAUUUCUGUAUAAUUAGUACGAGAGUCAGGUAUUUAGAAUAUCUAUGUCAAUAUUUAAAUCAAUGUGCCAAAUAUAGAAUUUCUUUAAAUUUAGAAAAGUACCAAUUUGGUGUGUUUUAUGGUAAACUGUUGGGUCAUAUAGUUUCAAUGGCUGGCAUUGCUACAGACCCGGAUAAAAUAAAGAUUAUAGUAGAAUUAAAGCAACCAGACACUAUUAUGGGUGUUCGAGCAUUUGUCGGCUAUGUCAGUUAUUAUCGGUAAUUUAUCUAUCUAUUCAUAGUUAUAUGCCUUCCUCUAACAAAUCUCUUGAAGAAACCACCAAUCAAUGGAACUAGUCCAUUUUGAACAAAAGAAUGUACAAUUGCAUUCAAAACAUUGAAACAGAAAUUGAUUUCAGCACCAAUAUUGGUGGCACCUUGUUGGACAAAACCAUUCCAAGUUUAUGUGGAUGCAUCUAAUGUCGCGAUUGGUUAUGUGCUAAGCCAGAAAGAUGACUGGGGUUUUGAUCACCCUAUUUAUUAUAUAAGUCGUCAAUUGGUAGUAGCUGAAAGAAAUUAUACAACAACCAAAAGAAAAGCAUUGCGGAUGAUUUAUUCCAUACAAAAGUUUUGACAUUAUCUUCUUGGUUAUAAAUUUGUUUUCCAUGUCAACCAUUAUGCUUUAAAAUAUAUGAUUAAUAAGCCUCAGUUGAGUGGUCGUAUUGCACGAUGGGUUCUACUCUUGCAGGAAUUUGACUUUAUUAUUCAAGUACGAUCAGGGAAAUCACAUUCCAAUGUAGACCAUUUAUCUCAGUUAUCCAAUAUAUUGGAAAAUGAACCCAUUAACGAUGCACUACCCGAUGCAAAAUUAUUUGCGAUAGAUAUAAUUACUCCAGAGUAUAAUGAAAUAAUUCAAUACUUGACAUUUCAAACCUUCCCACCUAAUUUCAAUGAAAAGCUUAAACGACGCUUAAUAUUAAAGUAUGCACCUUAUACGAUGAUUUGUGAAGCUUUAUAUAAACAAUGUAGGGAUGGAGUUUUGCAAUGUUGUAUUUAUGAGAUUGAAGUACGUAUUAUAUUGGAAUGUUGCCACUUGGACAAUUGUGGUGGACAUUUUGCGGGAGACAGUACGGCUCUUAAAGCUUUACAUGCUGGUUAUUGGUGGCCAACAAUGUUUAUAGAUACCUACCAAUUCGUCCAUCAUUGUGACCCAUGUCAGAGAACAAAUCAAUCUAUUGAAACUUCAGCAAUGCCAUUGGUACCAAUUCUGGCUCAAGCGCCUUUUGAAAAAUGGGAAAUUAAUUUUGUGGGAUCAAUUGCACCAACCUCGAGAAAUGGAAAAAAUGGUACAUACUGGUAACAACGGAUUACAUAACAAAAUGGGCUGAAAUCAUAGCUACGAAAAUCGAUAGUGCAAGUACAGUGGCAACCUUUUUGUAUGAAAGUAUUAUUACACGAUUCAGUUGUCCAUGAGAAUUGGAUAGUGAUCAAGAAACUCAUUUUAUAAAUAGUACAAUCAAAGCAUUCACGGCUAAAUAUGAGAUAAAACAUCAGAAGACUACACUAUAUCAUCUUAGUGCCAAUACACAAACAAAAAAGAUUAAUGGAAUUUUAUGUAAAAUCUUUACAAAAACAGUUUUAGGAGCGGAAAUAGAUUGGGAUACUAAGUUGUUCGUAACUUUAUAGAUAUACCAUACUGCAUAUAAAGUUACUACCAAUGCUACUCCUUCCCAAUUGGUUUAUGGCCAGAAAGCAAUAUUACCUAUUGAUAUGGAAGUCCAAAGUUUACGAAUUACUAUAGAUAGUAGAUUGGAAGAUCAAGAUUCAUCACGGCACCGUUUAGAAGAAUUGAGAAAAUUGGAUGAAACUAGAGUCAAUAUAUUAAUGAUAAUGGAAACUAUACAAAAAUGAAAGAAGACUUAUUAUGAUAGUAAGCUUAGACUAAAGGCUUUUAUGCCAAAUGAUUUAGUACUUCUUUAUGAUAGUUAAUUUAAAAAUUUUCUAGGCAAAUUUCAAGUUCGAUGGCAUGGGCCAUAUCGAGUUAUUGAUGGAUUUCCAAAUGGUUCAGUACAAUUGGAAGUUUUUAUGGAUACUAAAUUUAUGACACAGAUCAAUGGCAAUGGGCUUAAACUUCACUAUACAUAAACCUAGGACAAAUUUGCUGUUACAAAAAGAGGAGUCGACCCAAUUGAUUGGACCCUAGUAAGAAGUAGGAAGGGAGCUCUUGACAAUCAUCAUGUUUUCUUUUGUGGUUAAGGAGAAGAUGGCAAACAUAGUGUCAAAGAAAGCAAGGAUGGAGACCGAUUGGGAGGAAUAGUAAGAGCGGCUGCAGGUAGAAGUUACGAUGUUGCAGACUAAACUAGCCGCAUUAGCGAAAGAGGCCAAUAAUUUAGUUUGGACCAAUAUGCCAGUUUCAGCGACAACACCUUUGGAGAUACCUUUGAAACUAACAAAAGAAUGGCAGAAGAUGUUGGAGGAGUGUGACAACCAAAUUGCCCGACAUGAGUCUCAAGUACAAGAAUUGGAUUUAUUGAAUGAAGAUCUGACGACACAUUUGGAUAGAGAACCCUCAAAUACCAAGGCAGACGACGAAGAUGUAGUAAAAGAGAAGGUCACCAAUUCAAAGGGUGGUAAGCCAAUGCUAUUGACUGAAAAAGCCAAUGUUGCUACAUCUUUAUAAGUUGAGGCUAAAUGAUGUUUACGAAGACGCUGCAGAAUUAGGAGUGGGGCUAUGUAGAAUAGAUAAAUAAACUUUGUAGUAAGUUACUAGUUGCUUAUUGACAAUUUUAAGAAUUAAAUUGAUGGUUAGGUAGUUUAGUUGGUAACAAUAGAUUGUUAGUGGAAUAAAUGGUUAAGAAUUCAAAGGAUCAUAACCUUUGGAAUCUGUUGGCCAACAGAUCAUUUUUUGGUAGGAUAAAUAGGUUGAGAGUCGUAAGUCGAGGGCCAAACUAAGAGUCGUAAGUCGAGAGCGAGACAGAGAGUCGUAAGCUGAGGGCCAGACUGAGAGUCAUAAGGCGAGAGCCAGACUGAGAGUCGUAAGCCGAGGUAAGCUUGGUGCUACCUCUUUGUUUUUUUUAUUAUUUGCUUAUGAAGAAUUGUAAUUGAGAGAAGUAUUGUUGAAUUGAUAAUCGUAGAAUGGAUUAUGAGUUGAAUUAAGAUUGAAGUAAUAAGCCUUGGUAUUUUGUAGUUUAAUAAUGGAUUUCAGAUAGCUACAAUAUAGUCAAUUAUGACAUUAAUAGACCUAAUUCAUAUAACCAGUCUUUUCCCGUGUUCGAACCUACUUCUAUUAGCUCAAUUGCUUUGGUCUAUUGAAGCUUGAAUGCAACGAGAACAACAAUGACCAAUCCUUAUAAAACUCGUCCUUAAAAAGAUGGACAAUGUCAUGAAGAUACAUACUUACUCUAAUAUUUACGUAUAUGAUUAAGUAGAAGUAUGUUAAAAUAGAUUUAUUUUACAAUAUUUUUUAAAAAAGCUUCCUUAAAGCUUUGUAGACAUUGCUUUGAUUUUACAUGUAUUUGUAGUUGAUUGAUAGGUUAAAAACUUAGCCAAUAAGUUAACUUCAUAUUGAUAGCUUGCAAAAUAAGCUAAAUAUGUGGCGUACACAUUGAAAACUUACCUUGCAAGUUAAAAUAUGUCUCUUUUAAAGUCAACACCUUUUAGAGGUCUUAUAUGACAUUAUCACCUAAGUCCUAGUUAAAAAUAUAAAUAGAGGUAAGAAUGAAGUUUUUUUCAUUCUUAUCAAUGCCUUUCUAGUUUUUAAUCUUGUUUCAUGACUUUUUAGUCUUCUAAUCUUUAAAAAUAGCCAUUCUAAUUUAAUAUUAUUUUAUCUUUGAGUGAUUUUUUUAAUCUUUUUGAAUGACACAAGAAUAUAUUGAGAUUUUUAUUCUUUGAGAUUUAUUUCCUUGGGAGGAUCCAUCAAUCAAGUACAUUUUGGUGAUUGAAUUUCAACCUCAAAGUUAUUCAACUUUCAAAUCACAAGUUAUGCUUAUUAAAACACUAAUUUAAAAUUUUUUUUAUUAUAAUUUUCAUCUUUUUUUAAAUAAUAUAAUGUAAUUUUGGAUAAAUUAAAGACCUUGAAGUUUUGAUCUAAGUAUAAAAAAUAUAAUGCAAUUUGUAUUGCAAGCAAUAAAAUUUAUAUUUUUUAAUAUAAAAUUGAUUAAUAAUAUUAUAUUCUUUAUAAUUUUGAAAAAUUAUAAUUAAUAUUAAAUAGAAUAAUAUUACAUUUGUUAGCCCUUUUUCUAUGGAUUAUAAUAUAAAGUAAUGAAAUUGAUGUUGAAUUUAUUUGAUUGUCAAACAUGGAACCAAGUUAUUGACUUUGUUGUAAAAUAUGAAAAUUAUCUUUUUGAAUUUUGAUCUAAGAAUCAUAUAAGUAGGCCUUAAUAUUUUUAUAAUUCAAUGGUAAUAUCAAUAUCUUUUCAAUACAUACUUUUAUAAGUAAAAGAUAUUUAAAUUAACAUGGUAUAUUUUAAACUUCUCAUUUAAUAAGAAAAGACUUGUUUUCAUUAAGAAAAAUUGUACUUGUAUUUUGAAUAAUCCAAUUAUACUAUUCAAUAAUAUCUAAAGAAGUAAUUUAACUACUAAAAAAAGAAUAUAAUUGUUAAAGAAGAUAAUAUGUUUAAAAAUAAGUUUUUCUAGUUUAAACAAAGAUUGUGUAGUUGAAAUCUUAUACAACACCUAUUAAAAGUCUUCUUUUUUUUUUAAUUUUAGAACCAUCUCUUUGUUAUAAUAGAUGUUUGUUUAGAACCUAAAAAUCACAAAAUAUUUGCCGUACUAUAUUUAAAAGCUUCAAUUUUUUUUUAAACGAAGAGUGUAUUAAAUCAUAUAGCAUACAUUUAAUAAAAAAACUAAAUAUGUACAUAUAGAAGUUAUAAAUGAUUGUAUGUUAUCUUUUAAAGAUAUUACUAUUAUUUGCCAAAUUUAAUAAGACAAGGUCAGUUAAAGAUUCAAAAACAAUGAUAAAAAAUAUAUAAGAAAAAUAUUUACAGUAUUAUUAUUAAAAAUAGAGAUACAACUCAAGUUUAGAUCAAGAAAGUAGACUUUUUGAAGCUUAAGUAAUUUUUUCAUUAGGUUGUUAUGAAUUAAUAUAGAAAGUAUGAUAAUAAUAGACAUAGUCAAAUUUGAAGUGAAAUAGUGCUAGAUCAAAGGCCAUAUAAUUUCAAAGUAUAUAAUUAAUAAAGUUUAUUUUUAAAGUGGUAUAUGUACUAUUAUUUUUAAAUAUUUUAUAAAAUUUUAUCUUGUACCUACUUGUUACCUAAAAUGCUCAAGUAACAUUUGGCAACUAUAUUAGAUUGUAUUGCAUGAGAAAAUUUUGCAAAUAAUCACUCAAGAAUAUGUACAAUAUUUACGAACAAGAUGAAUCAAAGAAUUAGAACAAGAAGAGAGAAUCAAAAAUUCUUCCUUAAUUACCUCAAAAUAAGUAAGUAUAGCCAAAAUCCAAGAAAAACUGCCAUUAUAAUUAUUCUUAAAGAGAAUGAAUAUUUACACAAUUGGUUAAAAGAGUAUACAAUAGCAAUGGAAGUUUGCAUUCAAAUAAUUUUGUAAAAAUAUUAUAAUGUUACAAGGAGCUUGUGUAGGUAGUUGUGAAUAUAUAAUUUAAAUCUCAAGCACCACCAAUCAAUCAACAUAAUAAGGUGGCAAAAAAAGUCACAACUAGAUUCUACUUGAAAGUCUACAUCUUGUACCUAUAAUUGAUACCUCAACAAAAUCCAUAUUAACCAUUGCAAUUGUCAUAAAUCUCAGACAUUUCAAUCUUAUAUACCUAAUCUUUGACUAUACAAAUUAUUCUAAUAAAUAUAUUAAAAUCUAUCUAAUUGUGGUUGACAUUAACAAAGUCUUAUUGCUAAAAAUGUUUAAACAAACAUUUAGAACAACUCCAAAGAAAGUAUGGAUUUAAAGAGUAUACAUUAAAAAAAUAUAAAUAUAUUAUAUUUUUUUAUUACAUAUAAUUUUUAUUUAUUGCUAAUCAUGGAGAUUGGCCAUUUAACUAAUCAUAAUUACAUAAUUAUUACUUAUAUAAUGAAUGCAAGAUGUAUGUAGAAAGAGUAGAUUCAUGGUUUCAUCCUAUUUCUACAUGCCUCCUAAAUCCUAAACUAGUCAAAUUAUUUUAUUCUUCUUUUAUUUCUAAUUUCUUAAUUUAUAUAAUAUUACAUGUUGAUAUAUUUUUAAUUUUAUUCCUAAGAUGUAUAAUAUAUGAAUUUCUUUUGACAAGCUAAAUAUUUUAGAUUUGACCUUCUUUGAAUAGAAUUUUUUGUUGUUAUUUUUUUCUUUAUUUAACUUUGUUGAUUUAGUUGUAUAAAAAGAGUUUCUUAUAGAUGUAUAGAUCAUUGUCGUUUUGUUUUGGAAAUGCAUUUGUUGAUUAUUGUACUGCUCUUGAAUUUCAUAUAUUGCUAUUGUAGGUGAUCAUCAUAAUCUUAAUAAUUUUGACAAGCUCAUGGUACUUGCUAUUUCUUCUAAUUUCAAUUUGGCAAAUCUAGGUCUUUGAGAUUGCUGUGAUAAGAGUAGGUUUUAUCCACCUAAUUGCCCUUCUUCUUAUACUUAUUAUAACCAUAAUAGUUUUAUGUAAAUUGCUAAUUUAGUGAGUUUUUGAAAGAUGAGUCUUUCAAUUGUAUUUCUUCAAAGAUUUUAUGUAGUACAUCAAAAGACAUGCCCUAAUGUAUAUGCAUCUUAGGCAAAGUAUGAGCAUAAUGUGCUAAGAUAUAUGCAGGUUUUUUUUCAAGAAAAGUAAUUAUAAAUAGAUAUUGAAUUAUAUUUGUAAUAUUAAUGUAGUUUUGGAUUUAGUUUGGCACAAUAUUUAAUAGCUUCUAGUAGUUUUGAAACUUAAUAAUGUCUAAAGCUUUUGUAAGUAUGAUAGCAUGUGAUUGGUCUUUUGAUAUAUAUAUAAUUUUUAUUUUUUUUCUUUCUAUCAUAUCUUAGACAUAGUUCAAAUGAGACUUGAAGUAUUUUUUUUGAGAUAUAUGAAAUUUUUGGAUAUUUUGAUUUUGCAUUAAUUGUUGCAAUGUAAUUAUAUAAUUUGCUUUCUAUAAAUCUUAAUUUUAAAUAAAGAUUCUAAAUAUGAUAAUAGAUAAAAAUUUCUUUGACAAUAUUUAUUACUAUUAUGAAUUUCCAAAAGAUAUUAUAUCAAUUAGAUUGACUUAAUUUAUAUUGAAAUUCAAGAGAAUUUUUUUCAAAGUUUUAAAAGUAGAUAUAAAAUUAUCUUUGACUUUUCAUUCUUAAAUUAAUAAAUAAACAAAAUGGAUGAAUAAAGUUUUAGAUUAAUAUCUAAAAUGUAUCAUUAACUACCAUCAAAAUGAUUAGAUAACUCUUUGGCCAUUAGCAAAGUUUAUUAAUAAUAGUAUAAUACAUUCUUCUAUUCAAUAAAUACCAUCUUUAUUAAUUAUAAUUAUUAUCUUGAUACUUGAUACUUUUGAUUUUUCAAAAGUUGAUAAUUGUAUGGCAAAAGAUUUAGCAAAUCAUAUAUCAAAGCUAUAUGCAAUAAUAAAGAUAUAAUUAAAAGAAUCUUAAGAACAAAUAAAGAUCAUUUCAUAUUUUUAUUGCUAAGAAGAAUCUUAAUUCUACUUUGAAAUAAAAUAUGAUUACUUUGUUGUAAUACCAAGACUAUUUAUCUUUAUAACAAGUUGGAUUUUUAUAAAUUUAGAUCAUUUCUUAUUUAUAAAUAGAUCAAUGUAGUUACUUAUUGGUUAGACCUAUUAGAAUCUAUGAAGAUCCAUGAUGUAUUUUACAUGUCUCUUCUUAAGCCAUAUAAGAUAGUUAAUAUCCCAAAAAGAAGACAAAUGCUACUUCUUCUUAUAAAAGUAGAUAAUAAUUAAGAAUUUGUAGUUAAAGAAGUAUUAGACUCAAGGUGGUAUUAAAAUAGGGUUGAACUACUUGAUAUAUUGGUGGAGAUAUGAUAUUAGUGAAUGUACUUAGAAGGCUUUCAAGAAUCUUAUAAACGUAGCAAAGAAAUUCAAAGCUUUUUAUUGAUAACAUGCCAUUAAAAUCAAGAUAAAGAGUCAAGCAAUUCUUUGCCAUAAAGAAACAAGGUUUAGCAAAGAUUGUAUUCCAUCAUCUAUCAUUGAUUGUGGUUUUUUUGUAUUUGUAGUAAUAAAAAGAUAGAAAAUCAACAACCAAGAUAUUUAAUUUAAGAACUAUUGUUUACUAAGUUGUCAAAUAAGACAUUGCAAUUAUUACAUCUUUGAAGACAAAGUAAUAAAAAUGAAGGCCUUAAAGAAUAACGUAUUCUUUUUGAAUUAGAUGGCAAGAUAUAAUGCAUUUGAUAUUACAACUUUAGAAGAGACUCUCAAUGAUGGUGACAAAUAGCCAUUAUAAUUUCUUUUUGAAUAAAUACAUUUACUUAUUUUCUUUUCGUCAUUUUAAAAUAAAAAAAUAGUUUUUAUUUACAUUUUUUGAAUUCUUGUCAUUAAUAUCUACGCAUUUACUUCCUAAUAUUAUAUCUUUUUUAGAAUAUUGAAUAUACAAAAAAUCUUAGUUUCAUAUAUAAAUUUAAAAAUCAAUUAUUUUAUAUUUAAAUUUGUUGUUGAUUACAACUAUAACCAAUAGUAUAUUUUAAUUUAUUUUAUUUCAUCUGUAUCAUUGUUAGAAUGUGUGAUUUAUAAGAGGUUUAAAAAUAUAAUUAAAUAAAUAAAUAAAUACUAGAUGGGAUUGAAUAUAAAGGGAAAUCUUAAGAUAGAACAUACUUGGAUUCAUUUAGUGAAUGAUUGUAAAUGGCCUCAAUCUUUGGUAGUCCAACUUUUUUGAUGGUCAAAUUAUUAUUUAUAUCAAAUUUUAAAAUUUAGAUGAGAUUUUUUGAUAAUUAAAUGUAUUUUUUUUAUUUUUAUAAAUUUUAUUUUGGGCUUCUUAAAGCUGAAGAAUAAUCUCAGUCGAUUGAUUAAAUUCCAUAUUUAAAAACUUUUAGCAUUUUUUAUUUGAAGAUGAUCUACUAAAAAAUUAUGUCAUAAAAUUUGUAAAUUGUCAAAAAAAUUCUUUAUUAUCGAGCUAAUAUUUUAUAUAGCAAUUGCUUGUGUGAAGCAUUUUUCCUAUUUUUACUGAAAACUAUAUAUGCUUAGCUUAGUAUUUGAUUUCAUCCAUGUCGAAAUAUAAUAAUUAAACAUGUGAUAUGUAAGUUUUUUUUUUUUCAAAUUUUUACUUUAAAUUAAUUGAUUAUUUAAAAUAUUCAUCAAUAUUUGAAAGUCCAAUGCUAGGAUUCUUCUGUGAUAUUCAAUUGAGUUGUAUAGAAAAUAGAAAAUAAAUAAAAAUUAUUUUAAUUGAAUUAAAAUUCAGAUUAAUGAUAUGCUACAUAUUAAAAGCCUACUUUUUUCUUUCUAAUUGAGUGAAAAUACUCUGUUGCAAUGUUUGUUAUUAUCAUUAAUCUUUUUCCUUAUUUGAAGCCAAUGUUUCACAAAUCUUAGAAAUUAAUUUACUUGUUGUGAAUGCAUUAAAUGUUUUGUCAUUCAUGAUAUGUUUCAUAACUUUUUAAGUUUAUUUUUAAUAAUAAAAGUACUGUGAAAUCAAAUGGGAAUUAUAAAAGAAAUGUCCUCAAAUCAAGGUAGAAAUUCUGCCCCUCUCUCUCUCUGCUUGUAUGUUUAAUUAGUUCAUUAUUUAUUUAUAUGCAACCUGUAUACAAUAGAAAAUUUUACAAACUUGAGUUUUUCUAUAUACUUUCACAUUUAUUUGUAACAAAGUAUGACUUAAUAUUUAAAGCCGCAUAAUAUUACAGUAUGAUUCUCUAUGUAGUGUCAAUCUAUUUUCUCAAUAUAUAUUCAUAUAUUUGAUAUAGUAAUAGUUAUUCUAAUUUCUUAAUAAUGUGAUGAGGAUUUGGAUUACAUAGAAUAGCACAUGCAAAAAUAUGAAAAAGUAAAGAACUUAUAUCACAGUAAAAUAUAAUACCAUGAUUUGAGUUGAAUCUCUAUAUGUAUUACAUAGAAGUAUGACAAACCAUUUAAUCCCGUACAUGAACAAGUCUUUAGAAUAAAACAACAGAAGAAGAAAAGAAAAGAAACAGAAGAAGAAAAGAAAAGAAACAGAAGCAACGGUGCAACCAAAAGACCUGUAAAUUUCCAGAAGUGCAGCAACUUAACCAUCAUGCUUGACUAUAGUUUGUAUGUUUAUGGACUUGUUAAUAAGCAUUGAAGAGAACUUAAGAUUUCUGUGGUACCCAAAAAUAUCGAAAACGCCCUCCAUACUGUCAAUACCGUCAAUUGUUUUUUUUCAAAUUAAUGUAAUGAAAAAGUGUAGCUGAAAGAAUUUUAGAAGCCGAGGUUUAAGCGAAGCUGAGCUGGAGAAGGAUCCCCUCCCCCUGCCAUGCUCCAUUUUGCUGUUGGGUUUCAGGGCUUAGGGCUUUGGGUGUGUGUGUGGUGGGGUGUGUGUCUGUGUCUGUGUUGGUGAUGGUGUUGCUUAGAUCGCGUUGUUUCGUCACGAGCAGCAUGGUCUCGGGGUCCUCAUGCUCUGCCUUGUCCGUUUGUGAUCAAAAGGUCCUCUGAGUUGUGGGCUGCGAUGUGUUGGGUUUUGUGGCGGUCGUGGGAUUCUUGUUCCGAAGGUUGGUUUUGGGUUUCCUAUUGAAUGUGCGUGCGUGGUCUUUCUUUCAGGGUUAGGUUGGAAGUCAUGUCCGGCUUCGCACAGAGAAUUCGAUACGCUGUGUCGCGGAUUUCCGCAGUGGAACAGUAUAGUUUGAGUUCCUUGCCAGUUUUGGAGAGGUCUCUUGUGCCUGUUCUUUCAGUAGCGAGCACAUUUUACACAUUCGGCAUUCUUGUGCGACAGCUUCUUUACCAGCUCGGAAUCUUUGGUCGAACUAGGUAUGCCAUGUCUCAUUUCUCUGUAGAUUGCAUUACGAUUGUACAAAUGAAUCUUUGUACCCCGAAACCACAGCUUAUAAUUUUUGACGCGCGCUUUCAACUUCUGCCUUCAUAAGUCAAUUAUUGUUUAUGGUUUACCUUCUGAUGUUCCAGGGUGAGGUGGUACUUGGUGUGUUUCAACAUGGUAUGCGUUUUAUAGAGCCGUGUCUCUUUUGCCAACUGAGGAAUAGUUUCAGUAAAUAGUCGAGAUCGAAAGUUUGUUGUUAUUAAUUCAUCAGGUACAGUUGAUAUAAAUAUGUCUGAGGGCUGUGCGUACUUCUUUAUAAAAAAAUUCUGCAUUUGCUUAGAUCUGUUUGUGUGGGAAGAUGUCGAGGUGAGCUCUUGCUGGUAUUUCUUCAUGUUGUCGUCUUCGCAGACUCCCCAUACCCGUAAUUAGUGUCGGGAACGUCACAUGGGGCGGCACUGGAAAGACUCCUAUGGUGGAGUACCUGGCUCGUCACUACCUCGCCGCCUGCGUUUCUCCGCUCAUCCUCAGUCGGGUGAAAACUUUGUACCCUCACAUUUUCUUCAAACUCUUGUAGAUAUUGAGAGACAAUGAAGUCCGUGAGUGGAGGUAAAGUUUCGAGGGUCUCUGCAUUGCGUCCCUGGAGUGAUUGUGUAGGAUUGUACAAUCUAACACCCAUAGGGAUCCUAGUCUGGCUAUCGCCAAUGAAGUGAGGUUGUGUGCAGUGCUGCACAUUCAAUUUUUCCCUUAGGACUAUAUGGAAUUACAAUCAACUCAACUACGCCCCAGAGACUUGCUGAUUGACUACCUGAUCGUACAGCUUGCAGGGUUACAGAGGGGGUGAUGAAGUGCAUCUUCUUCAAAAGCACCUCCAAGAUACUCCUACAAGGUUUGGCGUUGGCUCUAACCGGACAAAGGUAGCACUUUCCAUUCUCCGACAUGAAGCUGAGCAAAGAAGCAACGGGCUCGCAUCAAUCAUUGGGUGGAAAGCAGAGAUUGGCGUCGCUAUCCUCGACGAUGGGAUGCAGGUCAGUGUCAGCUUACCAUUUCAAUUCAUUAUAUUCUUUGGUGUAUAUCUGGUCAAAUUCGAUGCAGGUGUCGGCAUUCGUUGUGCCCUGCGGCGUCUACAAGACAUAUUUAUCACUCCGUUUGAUGCAGCACUGGGCACUGGAACGUGAUCUGGAGAUUGUGAUGAUCAACUCUCUGACUUUGUGGGGCAAUGAGAGGCUUGUACCUAGGGGACCAAUGCGAGAAUCACUUGAAGCAAUCGAGCGAGCACAUGUGGUAGUUCUUCACCAUGCUAAUUUGGUACGUCUGUUGGAGCGGAUUAGCAUUUUUCUCCACAUUUAGAGUGAACGAAAAUCUUUCAUAGUAAUUUUAUUUUGUUUCUGCCGGAAUGACAGUAUGUUGUGCUAUUCUUGUUAACUUCCUCAGCAACUUUUCUAGAUUACUUGAUAAAACUUCAGUGACCUGCAGGUGCUCGAUGACCAGCUGAAAUCCAUAAGGGAGACAAUAGAUCCCUUCUUGAGAAAGGGUUCCAUCGUGCUAAGCAGUCACAUGCGCCCACUUUGCAUCUAUAGGUAUACGAAGUCUAGUUACUUACCAUCAGAGUUACCUUUAUUGGAAGUCAAGGGCGCUGUAACCCUUUGUGUGUCAGCAGUUGGGUGUCCUGAAUCCCUCGAUCUUAUCCUUUUACAGGUUCGUACAAUGUUCCGGAUAUUCAAUGUCUGGUGCAGUUUUUGUUGUGAUUGUUUAGGAUGUUCUAUUCUGCGCAUGCCUAUCAGAGAAUGUGAACGGACUAGUAGAGAAUGAGGUUGGAUAUUCUGGGAACCAAGGAUGUGAAAUUUUGAAACAUAGUAAUAGGUAUGAUUUUUUUGUGAGUCACCAGGUAGGAGCUUCUCAUGUUGAGCGGUUGGAUUUUGUUGAUCACCACAAGUUUAAGAACGAGGUAUGGUGUGCAUGCCGGCUUCAAAACAUUUGAAAUCAAAUUUUUUGUUCUUUUCUUUAUUUUUCUGUGCACUGCAGACUAAUUUCAGAGGUCUUGCAAUUUAGAUUUAUCGUGAAAGUAAGAUUUUUUUUGCAGGACUUGAAAGGAAUUGCAGAGGUGUUUAAGCAGCUGCAACUGAGAUUUCCACACCAGAGGGUGAUGCUUGUUACAACUGAGAAGGUGCGGCCACUUCAGUUCUAAAAUAACCAUAUGAAAUAGUUGUUUAUAGAGAAAAUAUUAACUCAGCUAGUGCCAAACAUAAAGCUGCAGCGAGGUUAAGCCUCAUAAAUCGUGAAUUCAGGCUUCUCUGAUGGAUGGCAUGAUUUGGAAAGUUUAAGUCGUGUUCCAACGCCUGUGUAUUAUGGCAAAGGUACUUAUUGUCUUCAACUUUGAGUAGUCUCUCACAGUUCACAAGAUCAGCUCGUCUUAAAGGAAAUUGGUUUUCUGUUGGAUGAAGGACUAUAUGCGGGAUCCAGCUGUAAUGAUCGAGCUCGGAAAUCUGGGAGAAGGCAUUUUUGUACUGCACUCAGCUUUGGAGAUAGUAGGCUGCCAUGGCAAUGACCAAUCUUUUAGAGAACUUCUGGGUUCUGUUUACCGCCAGCAGAACUCGAAACGGAUGAGACUAACCUCUUGAAUUUAUCUGAUCGCUUGAUGAUAUUAGCCGUUCCUGACGUCCUUCACAAGUGUCUAGACGCCGACUAGUAUUGUUGGGGAGGUAUUUUUUGCGAGCAUUCUAUGUUGAACGAAUGUAGCAGCAAAAUGUCGGUUUUGAACCGCUGAUUUGAUGAGAAAAGAGACCCUCUGCAGUGGAAUGUCAUGACGUUUACGUCAUUUGUUUACAUGCGAUGUCUUGAUAGUUCUAAAUCACUUUGCGCUUUAUUGUACGUCAGCGAAUACAAUGUGGAAAUGUGAUCAAUGUGACCUAUGCAUGCUGUGGCCGAUGUUUCCCAUUUUGGUGGGAAAUAUUUAUUUCUUACGAUUACUCUUUUAUAUAAAGGUUGUCAUUUUGCUAGUUUUCUGACACUGGAUCAGGAAACCUGUGGGAUAUUAUUGUAAAGUUGGGAAAUGACAUUCUCAUUCUUCUGUCUUAUUACCUUUGAAGUGGUCAUGGUAUUGAAUUUAGGUCAAGGUCUCUGCUGGCUCUCCUACUUGAGUAGGUGGUCAUAUAUGUGAAGUUAUGGAUUGUGGAAUAAUAUUUAAAUACGCAGUUGUGAACUCAUACAUGAAAGCAUACUUUUUGGGGUUUUAAGGGUUCUCGCCUUCAUCCCGCAGGGCAGGUUUGGACCCAGCACACUUCUUUUCUAAGCGCUUUUUGAUGCAUCUUGGCUUCGUCUUCCUACUCUCAUCUCUGCGCCAUCCCAUCUUCCAUCCCGCCUACUGAUGUCGGCUCUUCAACUAGUGAUAGGGAGCAUUAAAAGAGCUUUCGUAUGUUGCUUACGGCUUGUCAGCAAUGGAAAAGCAUCAACAUGUCACAGAAUGAACCCCCUCAAGUGUCUACGAACUACAGUCUGGAAGAAUUGAUUCAAGAGCAACAAGUUUCCAUGCCGCUUCUUGAUGUCGGCGAACUCACCUCCCCGGAAGCCGCGCCACCCACGGAAAUCAUCGAUGCCAACAAUGUUGGUAUGGAGCCUUAAUUCCUUGGCGAUGGAGCGAUGAAGUACCGAGGAGACUUGCUAUCUCUAUCACAGACCUGGGCUUCACUUCUUCCAUGAAAUGCCGAAACACGAUCUCGUUGAAGCCCCACCCUCUGUUUUGAUCUGUUUGAAGUAGAGCGACAUGCUUGGGGCGGGAAGUGUUCAUACGGCGACACGCCGUCGACCAUCUCAUUCAUAAGAUUUUCAUUUUGUUUCUGGAGGCAUCGCCUUGGUUUUGAACCCAUUGUUAACUGUGCUGGCUUUGUUAUGGCCAGUUCCCAAUCAUCGCUGUAUGUGUACUUUAUUGCAGAGGUCGAUGACGAAGGUAAUUGUGAGACGAGAGAAUUGCCGCGCCCAUGCCAUUCGGUCCUUCGUAGGCGUGCUCCAGACGCAACAUGUGCAGGGGAAGUUGUAAUGGUGUGUCUACUUCGUUCUCCGCUUCAAGCGUUACCUUAUUUGUUACCCACUUUUUACUGCUCUUCAUCCAUAACAUGUCCAUUGGAAGGUUUUGAGUGCGCUCUAAAUGUAACAGGGUCAGUUAGACAGAAUGUAGCAGAUACCUUGUCUGCCACAAUGUCUGCACUGGUGCUUUUCCUCAUUUAACUCAAGUCAUGCAGGAUGUUCUGCUUUUCUUGAACGGAUCAGGAGGGAAGUUUGUUGCAACAGAGUGCGAAGCAAAUGUUCAUCAUUUCAGAAACACCCAACUCUUCGUUCACAGGCAAUAAGUUACACACACAAUAUGAAACAUUACAGUCACAAUGUUCGACUAUUCAAUUGUCACCAUAACCCACAACAAAGCUCAGAAGAAAUCUAGGUAUAUUCCUUGCCUGUUGAUGUAUGCUUCAUCCAAAUCCAUUACAAACACAAUGGCCAACUGGGAAUCCACCUGAUCUGACAUUUCAAUUGAUAUCAUGGCUACUAUUGCAGCCGUCUGGUCAUGGUCGCCGCUGGAAAACUACAUCAUUUUCCAGCUUCGGAAAAGACUUCAUGACCAGGAGUAUCCAGCCUGAGUGGGAGUCCCCGUACAAAAUAGGUUAAACGCGAGUGCAUCAGCAACAGCAACUGGUGCCAGGGCUGGCUGCAGACGAUCAACAGCACCUGGUGAAACUGCAACCAUGGCCACUGGUGCAACCACCACAUAGUCAUGGUCGCUACUCAUUAACUGCAUCAUUUUUCAGUUCCGGAAAAUAGUCCAUGUUCCGGAGGUAUUCUGCCAGGGAAGGAUUCACUUUACUAAGUGCGUCAUCCACAUCUGCAAAAACGACAGCAUCCGGUGCCAGGGCUGGCUGCGGGAGAACAGCAGCAACUGCUUGUAGGUCUGGCUGCGGAAGAGCAUCCGGAUGUUCAUCAGCACCUCGCUGCACAAUGGCAUCCGCCUCAACACUUCCACUGACAACCUCCCCCCCUUCUACCGACGCCUCCUCAUCAAAAGGGACAAGUGGGAUCUCCGAAUUGCCAGAACCGUCGGAGGGCUGAACGGUGAUCUCACCGGCUCCAAAGUUGGCUGUGGUCUCAUUUAGUUCUGUUGUGGGCGUCUCGAAACUAGUGACAGACGAAGUACUCUGCUGACUUGAGUCGUUUCCGUCCUCGCCGACAGAUUGAGAAGAAGUAGUCCCAUCAACGCCAUCGCUGAUACUGAACAUCCGCACACACACACAAACUGUCAACUUGCAAACCUGGACCCUAUCACAGUAAACCCUAAUAGUAGCCAUGAAUCGAAAAAAGGAAACCCUAUCACAGUAAACCCUAAUAGUAGCCAUGAAUCGAAAAAAGGAAACCCUAUCACAGUAAACCCUAAUAGUAGCCAUGAAUCGAAAAAAGGAUAUCCUAUCACAGUAAACCCUAAUAGUAACCAUGAAUCGAUAAAAAGGAAAGAAAAGAGGUUUACAAGAGUAAGUGAAUGAUUGCGCCGAGAAGCUGCAUCACGCCACUGAAAAGGCGCACCGAGAACCCGAUGAUGCCGCUGAUGAGCCCCAUGCUUUGCCACCCACUGCGGGCUGUGCGCGAUGUUCCGAUGAUCCCAAGCAAGGUUCCACCCAAAGCACAAAGAGGGGCAAUGGUAGUCUAGCAGCCAGGCUUGACUAGAAUGAGUGUUUGUGUGAGGAAGUGACACAGACAGACAGACAGAGCGAGUGCGAUAGUGUGAAGGAGUGCCACACACACACAGACAGCGUGAGUAAGUGAGCGAGGGCGUGUGAGGAAGUACCAAGCACACAAAGAGCGGGUAAGAGGGGAGUGUGAGGGAGUGCCACACACACACACAGACACCGCGUGGGUAUGUGAGCGAGGACGUGUAGGAAGCAGCACGCACACACAGAGCGGGUAAGAGGGGAGUGUGAGGGAGUGCCACUCACACACACGGACACCACAUCAGUAAGUGAGCGAGGACGUGUGAGGAAGCAGCACGCACACACAGAGCGGGUAAGAGGGGAGUGUGAGGGACUGCCACUCACAUACACAGACACCGCGUGAGUAAGUGAGCGAGGACGUGUGAGGAAGCAGCACGCACACAGAGUGGGUAAGAGGGGAGUGUGAGGGAGUGCCACUCACACACACGGACACCGCGUGAGUAAGUGAGCGAGGACGUGUGAGGAAGCAGCACGCACACACAGAGCGGGUAAGAGGGGAGUGUGAGGGAGUGCCACUCACACACACGGACACCGCGUGAGUAAGUGAGCGAGGACGUGUGAGGAAGCAGCACGCACACACAGAGCGGGUAAGAGGGGAGUGUGAGGGAGUGCCACUCACACACACGGACACCGCGUGAGUAAACGAGCGAGGGAGUGUGAGGGACGGGCACACAACUCUCACACACACACAUACUAAAUGAGAUAUUGAGGGAUCGCUGGUGAGAGAGCUUUUUAGGAAUCCAGAGAGAGAAUAUGAGAGACAGAAUUAGUGAGUUGGAGUUAGUGGCAACUAUCUCACUAACUCCAACUCACUAACUCCACACCACGUCCAUUUCAGGAUAUUUCCAGAUCCCCUACGUCCACAUGGACGAUGUCCAUAUCCUUCAAAUCUCCUCUCUAUGCCGACCUCCUUCUCAUGAAUUGGGUUGGCUGCAUUCAGUUGCUCACACUUGCCUCUUGAGCUUUGAUGGUGUGUGACGCCGGAGCGUGAGAUAUGCCCAACGUGUUCUCGGACUGGACUUGGUGCCAGAGUGAUACCAGGGACGGGUGAACUGCAGCGCCUAUGGCAUUGGGUUGGCUUUGUAGGCGUGCUCCAAAUGUGACACGGCCAAUUGGACAGGGGAUUUCAGAUGCCCUGUCUCCCACAAGGUCUGCACUUUUGCUGCAAUCCCCGUUCAACUUGUUCAUUCAAGCUUUCUUCCUCUUCUUGCACAGAUCACGAAGAGAGCGUGUUUCAACAGAGGGCAAGGUAAAUGUUCAUCAUUUUAUGAACGCUCAGGUCUUUGUUCACGAGCAAUUGGAACAUGGUGCACGUAGGAAAUUCUUACGACAAUUUUCUACUCUGAGGUUGUGGGUUCCUCAAUUCGGUAUGAAUUAUAGUAAUUCCGACGCUUACAGGGGUGACUGCGUUGUUGAAUCUUUUAGAGUAGGCUUGCGGCGCUGUUGGAGAUCAUUGAAUACAAAUUGCUGGGCACGAGACCUAGACAAAGGAAUUGGAGCAGGACGCCCAGGAGAGGCUUCUAACAAAGUUAGGAAGCAGCCAUUAGAUCGUACCUGUCGAACUGGCUCAAGUAUUAAGCAUUUGAAAGAUCGUUGCUUUGAUGACAUUAUCGAGAAAGAUAAGCUUCUUAAGAUUGUUUUGUGUAUCAAGGACCUCCUAGGAGCUGAGCCGAGCCGAUCCAUGACUAUAUUGGACCUGGGCAAGAACAAGGAAGAUUUAGGGUUCAAGGGAAAUGGGCGUCUUGUCGCAUUCUUAAAACGUUACCCGGGUGUUUUUGUAGUUCACGAGACUGCGGGAUUUGGAAAUCUACCUUGGUUUCAGUUUACACCAGAAGCAGAAGCUGCCUUUGUAGAGGAAUUGGAAGUACGAAAAGGAAUGAGCAGCGAGGUUGUCAUAAAGCUGCAGAAGCUUCUAAUGAUGUCAAGUGAUAGGACGCUCUUAUUAUCAAAAAUUGCUCACCUUGGGCGAGAUUUAGGUCUUCCUGAUGAUUUCAGGAAAAGUUUUGUGAAUGAGUAUCCAAACUAUUUUCGCGUUGUAGGAAGUAAAUGUACUCUUGAUUCUGAAGGUCCUAAACUGGAGCUCGUUAGAUGGAGCGCUCGUCUGGCUUUUACAGAAGUUGAGUUAAAAGCUAAAGAAUCCGGACGUGGUGAGUGUCUUGCUUCCUGCCUUAAGUACCGCCGAUUAGGAUGUGUUGCUUACGCAAUUUUGAGCAUUAACUUCAAUCCAUUUUUCAUGUGUUAUGUCUUCGCAGAAUUAGAACAGACAUGCAAAUACCACGUUGCAUUUGUGUUGGACUUUAAUCUUUUCAUGUGUCAUGUCUUCGCAGAAUUAGAAGCCACUACCGAAGCCAUGAAAUAGUUCUGACUAUCAAUGGCAUGUAGAGGAAUCGAACAAAUGGGCAUUUCUGGUCAUGAAUAUGGUGGACUUGUUAACAGUGGGGUUACUCGACGAAUAGUGAAAAUGUGAAAAAUUAUGGAAGUAAUCGAUGUCUCUUUUUUUGCUCUUUUUAUCAUGUGAAGUAGCUUCGAACUCAGUUAUGCAGCUGACAUGACGAAGGUGGUUGUCAUAUUGGAGGAUGCCAUGAUUCAUUCUGAUUCCUUUUGCUUCCAAGUGAAUGAAGUUUUUGGGUGCAGAAGAGUUCAGGCCACUUGAACAGAUAAUUAUUGUUUUGAUAUGAGGGUGCAAAACAAAUCAAAAAAAAUCCAAAAUUCAUUAUUUUGGUAAUAAAAGUAACAAUUUUAAAUUCACAAAACAAAACAAAAAAAUUCCAAAAUGUUUUGUUUUGUGAGUUCCAAAAAAUUCAUUAUUUUGGAAACAUUUUGGAACUUUUACUGCAAUUGUUACUCUUAACGUUCAUAUAAAAUUUCUUGAAUAAGAUUACUGUUUUUCAACUGAAUUAUAUCUUCCAAAUCCCUCCAUCUAGAAUCAAAACAAAUAUUUCGUUAGUUAUAAAAGACCUAAUUUAUAAUUGGAAAAAGACAAACAUUUAGUUUUCAACACAAUCAAAUUUUAAUAAUAUUACUUAUUACAUGUUUAAAAAUUCCAAAUGCAAAAUUAUAAUGCAAAAUGUUCAUGUAGAUAAUAUUAGAUUUUUAACCAUAAAUGUUAUGAAAAUCGACUAAUAAAAUUUUAAUUUAUUAAAUUAAGAUAGAUUCUUAUACCAAAUAAAAUAAGUAAACUUAUUCUUAUAACUCAUGUAGAUAUUAAUGUGGCUAUAAACUGGAAUGUAAAAUGUUUUAGACUUCUAAACAUUUGUAAUUUAAUUGCACUCCCAAAAUGAAAAAUAAAAUUAUAUAUAUAUAUAUAUCGUUAUUAACUAUACACAUUAAUUUUUCUCUAAAAAUUUAAUUCUUUUGAUUUCAUCUAAUGUAAAAAAAAAACUGACAUUCUAUUAUAAAUGUUUUAUAGCUAUUAUCUAAUUGAUUGGUACUUUUUGUUGCUUUAAAAAAUCUAAUUCUUAUAACAAAAACCAUAUCAAACUUGUUAAUCAAACUUAUUGUAUCAAAUGUCUUUGAGUCUUUAAUUUGUAUUUUUAAAGUUAAGAUUCAUAGUUUAUUUUUAUUUAUUUUGUAAUUAGAACACAAUAUUUUAUUAUAUGUGUUCAAAAAAUUCUUAUCGUCUUUUUUAAAAGAAAUUCAUUGAUUAUUGGUUAUAAUAUAAAUGAAGAUGAUUGUAUUGCAUAUAAUGCUUUUGUAAUUUAUUUUUCAUUUGUAAUAAGGAAUUUUAAGUCUUUCCUUUCUUUUCUUCUUUUUAGAAUUUUUUCUAUCACUAUAUUAACAAGGUUAUAAAAAUUAUAAGAUCAUAAAAUAGCUUAAUCCAAAUUAUAAACAUUGAGGUGAGUGGAUAACAACUUUACCAAAUGCAUGAUGUUUUGCAAAAAUAGAAGUAAUUUAUUCCGAUAUAAGAAUAAACAUUACUGCCAUUAUUCAAUCUUAAUAUAUAUAUAUAUUUAUAUAUUUAUAGAAUUUAGUAUUAUAUAUUUAACAUACAUAAAUAUUUUUAGUUUUAAAAAUUAAAAAAAAUAAAAAAUAAAAAAACAAGUUCUAUAAAUGACCAUUUUAAGACACAAGAAGGCUUGCAAACCACAAGAUAAAAAAAACCAUACAAAAGAUUUUAUGAGAAUCAAAAUAACUUUAGUAGUGUUAAAAAUCACAGUGUUUGCAAAAUUUUAAGAUUUUUAAAAAAUUUAUAUAUAAUAGUGAUUUCUGGCACAAUAUAUUCAAAUAAAUCUAACAAAUAAAUAGUUUUGAGGAGAUUUGGUCUUAAAAUUAUUAAUAAUUGGUUUUAAAAUAUGUCCCAAACAAACUCUUUGGCCAAAACUUCCAUAUGAACUGUAGUGAAAGUUUUUAGAAUGUUAUUAAAUAUUCCAAAAAAUAUUAAAAACACCUUGUUUUGAAAAUUCCAAAAACCAAUAACAAUAAGAAUGCAUUUUAAUGAACAUAAAAUGUCAUCAUGUUGUAUUUUGGUUUUAAAUUUAAAAUAUUUUGUCUAGGUUUUUAAACUUCAAGUAAGAUUCGAUAAUGUGUUCUGUGAAGUACUUAAAUGCGUUACACAUACAUACACCACAGGAAAUGUAUGUCAUUAUAGUGUAUAAGAAAGAGACUGUAAUGAUGCAAAUAAGGAGUAAUUUAAACAGGGAAAGGUAAGGCAUGAUUUACAACUGGGGGGGUAGAAUGAGGGCAGUGAAUGAAUGAAUGAAUGAGAGAGAGAGAGAGAGAGAGAGAGAGUGAGUGAGUGAGUGAGUGGGCACACAGCACCAGCAUCAAUAGUCAGUCCCCCAUUCCCCUUUGAUUUGCCUUUUCUUUCCUGCACCAACAGGCACCCUUGAAAGGUUGCCCUGCCUCUCUCUGUGUGCGUCUCUCUCUGUCUCUCUGUCUGUCUGUGUGUGAGGGCGCAGUCCCUCCCCGUUCUUCCCACUCCCACUCAUCCACUCACUCACUCCCUCUCUUUCUCUCACCCUCUCAAUCAAUCAAUCAAUCAAUCAAUGUGUGUGUCACUUCUUGGCACUCUUUUCACUCUCCUUUCUCGCACAUCCCUGUUUGCUGCUGCAUGAGCAUCGUGAUUCAGGCUCCAGCCUUGCCUCCAACUCCCCUUCUGCUGCUGCUCCUGCUCGGGCGGGGGGGGGGGGGGGGGUCACAACUCAUCGCCACAGCCCUCCCUCCCUUCCCUGGGUGGGGUGGCUAAGCCAUGGGGUGCAUCGGCGGCAUCAUCGGGUCCCCGUUUCUCCUCUUGAGUGGCGUGAUGUGGCUUCUCGGAGCUAUCAUUUGGUUACUCUUGUGAGCCUUUUUUUUUUUUUUUUUUUUUUUUUUUCUCUCUUUCCCGUUCCCGAUUCAAUUUCUGCUUCAGUGCAUGAGCCAGGAAGCAAGAGAUUGAAACGUGCUCGAGAGGGCGUACAACACAUUCACGAUGGAAUUAAUAUGCGCUUGCAACUAGGAUUAUAGGUGAUUAGUGGAGUGUGUGUGUGUGUGUGUGUGCAGCAAGCCCAUUGCUCUUUGCUGCCCUUGUGGAGGUUGCUGCGAGUGUGUCAUCGGAUCCGCAUGGUGGCUGAUGGAAUUGCCCAUCAAAAUCAUGAAUUUCUUCAUCGGUUGCAUCCCCUGCUGAAAGACAUUCAAGAUGCUUCAAGAAUCUAUUACACCUGUUCUAACACCCAAGUUGCAAGAUUAACACACUUCUAGCCACCUCCACCACGGGAUUCCGCAACCCGAUACUGUAAGCGCAGGAUGGUGGUCACUCGUCAGGACAGAAACGAACGUCGCCAAAUGAGAGUUGUACAGAUGACAUCUGUGGUGACAGCAAAGCUAAGAUUGUGGAAAAAGAGGUACCCAGAGAGCAUUACACCGAUAAGAGCACAGAAGAGAACGAUGGCAACGGAGAAGAUGAAAAGAAAGGACGUAUUCCGAGGAGGGAGGGGGGGGAUGCGAAGCCAGCAAAGUGUGAGUGGGAGCUCACAACGGCAUGCAUAGGAAUUCUCAUAAAAGACCACCUAGAGUCAUUAUCAUGUCUAGACUCUAGAACCAAUAUCAACAUCACCAUUUGAAUGAAGAUAUUCGCUUUCACUGCUGUAUUUAACUGAAGUCAAUUCUGAUUCUUCGACAUCUGAUAACUCGUAUUCUUGAAGCUGCUCCCAUGUGUCGAAAUCAAUUGCAACCUCUGAUCGUGUGGCUUCCAGCAUGGAUACAAUUUGAGCCAUCGUGGGUCGUUUCUCGCUUUCGUUUUGAAUGCGCACCAUGGCAAUUUUCAAUUUUCACCCGUUGUACCUCCUCCACUUCCUCUUCACUCAAACGUAGGAAUGGAUCGACCAAUUCAAUUAUCUGAUGCAGUCCUUUCAACUUCCAGGCCUGGGAGAGUCUCAAGACAUUAGUGAGCAAUUCCAUUGGUAAUCACAGUACCACUUUCACAGUACAAAUAUCAUCACACCCUCAGAAAUAUAUCACCCAAUAUAUCUUUAUAUUAUGAGUGGAAAAUCUUCCUAAAAUCUCUAGCAAUAAAGUUGAUAGUGUUGGACAAGUGACAUUAUGAGAACAUAGUACUAACCCAUGGGGAGAGGUAAGCUUGUUCCGAUGGCAAAGACUAGUCAAUGUUCCGCCGACCACUGAUGAUCUCCAAACACAAGACUCCAAAGCUGUACACGUCCACUUUAUAACUGAUUUGACCGAAAUAGCAUAUUCUGGAGCCAAGUAACCUCUGCAUCCAUUGAUGAAUCAAAUGUCAACUUAAGCUCAUACUCAAAAAAAUAUGCACCAAACAGAAACUCCAUAAUAUUCGAUGUGUAUGUCUACUCCUAUCGGACAGGUGAAAAAAUCCAUCAAUCUUAAGCAUGGUUAGCCACGUUAGAUUCAAGUUCUAUGUAAAACCUACUUGGUGCCUGCGACGUGCACAGUCUCAAUGUGGCUCUCAUCAUCUGGGAACAACAAAGCUAGUCCAAAAUCUGCAACAAUGGGCUCCAAAUUCUUGUCCAACAAAAUGUUGCUCGCCUUAAUGCCCCGGGGGAUCACUCGGGCGGGCCAACGCAUGUAGUUAAUGUAGACCACGAGCUACUCCCAAACAAAUCUUCAAACGCGAAGGCCAUGAUACCACUUGUUUUUUUGGUCCUGUUCUUGUAGUUCACCAACAUCAUACAAUCAACACAAGUAAAAAUGAACUAGUUAUAACAGGUUCCUCAUAAUAAAUAUAGUUAGAAGUAAAUACAAUGGAUGAGGAUACACGUACCAAGAAGAAUUUGGUCAACAUCAUGGUUGUCUAUGCACUUGUAAACUAGGAUCCUCGAGCCCUCACGGAGACAGCAUCCUUUCAGAUACACCAAGUUUCUGUGCCUCAUGUUGGUGAUGAGCACAAUUUCAUUCGAGAACUCAUCCAGACCAGUUUAGACUCUCUUGACAAACAACUGCUUCACAGCCACCACAUUCCCAUUCGACAACACGCCCUGCAUACAAACAAUUAUGACGAGAAUUAUUCCUACAACAUUAUGCAGCUUCAGUUUGUUAUUUACCAUUGCAUGACCAAAGCUGCAAAUCUCAUGGCUUCAUAAGAACAUGACCUCCACAACAGGCGGACCUUGUAAACAGCACCAUAGCCGCCCUGACUCAACUUGUUCUUCUAGUGGAAGACUCGUGUGGCAGUCUUCAAUUCGUUGUACGAAUAGAUCGUGGGCUUAACCUCAAACUCUUCAAAUUCUGUAGCACACAAUAUGGAGUGAUUUUUGAAAAAGGACUUCCCGACUUGGUACUGUAAUUAGCAUCCUGUAAAGUACUAGAUACGCACUAUAUAGAGUGCUUCAUAGACAAAGCUCUGAAGCACUCUUGUGAAAAUUUUGUGGUUGAGAGAAAGCAAUACGGCCAGUAAUUGUACUGCUCUAGAACAAUCUGCAAGUGCAACACCAUUCCUAGAUUUCGUGAAGUAGGUUAUACUAGUAUGAAGGAAUUAUACUACUAUGUGUAGAGAAAGAAGUGCUUACUUUGUUGGAAGUGAAGGUACAGGCACUUUCUGUAUCGUCUGGUUUUGAGGAUAACACCUCCCACUGCCACCAGCACUAUCAGUGCCACCACCACUGCACUGGUAGUCGCUGCAAUGGUGAUGAUCUUGCGUCGCUCGGUUUUAAUGAUCACUGCUUGACAACAAAAGCAAAACGUCAGUUCUUUUCCAAUUCCAUAUGUGAGCUUCCAGCAAAAUUCAUUUCAGGAAUCCUUGACAUUUCCACCUUAUUGGUCCGGGUUCCAAGAACCAUGAGCCACCUAUUCAUGUAGUACUCCAAUUUUCAAAAUUUGACUUUACCUUUUGGCAUAAUCGGCGGCGUAAUAUAGCAGAGUUGUGUACAGAACCAUCUCUUGGUAACAUCAAUGUUCAUAUCCGCGCCAAAACAAUAUGGAGUGCCUUGAAACCUGCAAUUAUGUUUCACAUAUGCAUAGUUAUGUAAAUUGGUGACCACUUAUGUUGUUAUUCACUAAUGCAUGUCAUGUCUCCACUCUCCUACUUUCUUCCCAAUUGAGAUGGUCUAAUUUACUGGCUGUGUCUGUUUUACUUGAUAAUCGGUUUCUGAUUUUUGAUGUUCUCAGAGGUAUACUUGACAUCCACGAUACUACUGUUGGUCAAACUCAGAACUUUUAAAUUCGCUGCUGAAAUGUUGUGAACAUCCUGUUCACUAAAAAAGCUGGUAAUGUCAAGGAUUCAUGAAAUAUCAUUGCCGUCCAAGUACCUGGCAUUGAGUCGUCCAAGUCUGUUAGAUAUGAAUGCUGACUUAGUGUUCUAUGAUUGAUCUUCGUUCAAGGCUGUAUGCACAUUAACAUUAUGUCCUGUUAUUUGCAACCAGCCCCUAAUUAUGGAAGUAGCCUUGUUUUGCGACAGUUCAUAUUGUUUUACAAGGUUGUUUCUCGUAACCAAGGGAACUGAGGGUGGGCUACAUAUAGUUCCUGAAUAGAGCCCAGGCCCGAAGUUUUCAUAUUGGGUACAAAUCAGCCAAUUAGAAAAUUCUUGGAGAAAUCCACCACAGCGGCUGCGGAAACAUUGAAGAAGUCCGACAAAUUUGUCAAUGUCCCUGUAAAAUGGUUACCGCUUAAAUUCCUGCAAAAAAUCAUUAUAAACGUGAUUAGAAAAAAUCAAGAGCAACAUAUCAUGUCAAAACAACAUUAAAAAAGGAAGCAAGCAUAACCUACAAAUUAGGUAAGGAACCGAAUAAUUGAGCACAACAAACAUUAUAUACUUAGAUACCAAAGAGUAGUAUCACAAGCAAGGUAAGAGACCAAUAUUUACAUCACACUCACAUAUGGCUUAAGUAACCUAAGAUCGUUAGAUUUGGUAGUGGCCCCUUAAAUUGAUUUCCAGAAACACCUCUGCAUUUUACCAGGUCAAUUCGUGAGUCCAUGACAUGUUGAUAUACUCUAUUCUCUCAUUCAACGAACUACGUAAGAUUUGGCUACUGGAAGGCUGGAUUCUUCUAUUACAUCUAAGGUGUCGAGAGCAUACAUAACCUUCAUGAAGCCCAUCUGCAUUAGAUGUAGUGCAGUGGACUUACUAAGCAGAUUCUCCUGAGUUAAGAUUUCAACACUCCUUUCACCAGGCCAAUCAAAACAUUAUUGAAAAUUGAACAUCAAUGCAGGUAGAUUUACCACUAGGUUUUCGGCACAAAGUUAAGGAAAAUGAUAAUAGUGAGACUCACGAGUAUAGCAAUUCGGUAUUCUUAGAAAGAUCCAGCAACUUCCCCGCGAAGUUAUUUUGAGAUAUGUUACUACAAGGUACAAAGUUAUGCCGUUAAAUUCAUAUGAAAAAUAAAAACAAAAAACAGAACACGUGCAUCAGCAAUAAUUGCUACUAUCUUACUGCAAUGACCAUAUCAUUGGCUUGGAUUUGAUUCAUGCAACAGAAAUCGAAAUUACAUUGAGUUUGUUACUUAGUUUACAUUUUCUGCAGUUUUUUCUUGUUUCGAAAGGCGUCUCCCCUGAUAAUCCCAAAAAAAAUUGUUUCUAGCAAUACUAAAUAAUUGAAGAGCGUGUUUUGCAUUGCUUAACUGUCGAAGUGGAUAUUUUCCGCUGAGUCGAUUGUCACUCAGAUCCCUAUCUCAUAAGCCCACGAUGACCAAUAUAAUUAGCUUAGUGCAAGAAGCAUGCUAGUGAUAAAAUGAAAGAUUUAGACCUUCAUUGGCCUUCCGGACAUUAACGAGAGGCUCAUAGUUACUAUAGAGUUUGAGGAAACAUGAGACCUUUUGGAAUAGCCCCAUUGAAAGCAUUGUCGGGAAGAUCCCUGCAAUAAAGCAAAACUUCGUUUUAGAAAUAAAUUAUCAAAGAGUAGACUACUUGAUAGAGUUACAAUAAAUGUAUAACGGACCCUACAAAACUAGUUGAAGCAAUAAUACAACUAUGAUAUUGAAAUUGAUUCACUGGAGUUGUAGUCAAUGUUCUUAGUGGAAAAUACUGAUCUACAUGUGUAGGUCCACAGUAGGUCAUUUGUGAAACUUACAACACAUAUAGCGAUCUGGUUGAAAGUGAGUUGAGAAGAGAACCAGUGAGUCCUCGAUUUCCCAUCAAUUCCCUAUACAAGAACAUAGAUGCAAAUUGUUUGGUUAGCAAAUUCAUGUUUCAGUUCAAACAAAUUUUUGAUUACCAACAUCCAGCUUCAUACAUCACUGACUCAAAAUUUGUGAACUGCACCGAACUGACACAUAAUUACAUCACAUUAAACACUUGGCGGUAAUGGUUUGUGCAAUUGGUUGAAGGAAUUACUUACAAGAUGCUUAGACUAAACAAGAAUUCAAAUACAUCAUCCGGUAAUGUGCCAAUAAUCGCCGCAUUGGAAAGCAACUUGUCAACCGAUUUGUUCCUUGAGUUAGAGCACAGCACCUCUAAAUGCAUGUCACUCCUCGCCAAUACCCCAAAUCACUCUAGCAAGGUUUAAUCUGCAAAGAGCUCCAACCCGCCAAGUUGCUACUCAAAUUCGGAGUACUUUUGUUCCAAGCAUUCCACAGCGACUAAAGCACAUAAACUGAAAGAAAAAAAAGGAAGUCAGUUAGUCUGUGAAACUUGUAGUUGGUGAAUGUAGAAGUAGUACUGUAACACAUAACUGUCAAGCUAAAUCAAACAAUUUCGAGAAACUCCGAUGAAAUCUUUCGUCAAGACCUGAAAAGAUUCAUUUAUCUAUAUGUAGAGUUUCCAGCUGAUAUUGUUCAAACUGAUACUUAUCCUGGAAAGCUCUGGACAUAACUUCUAUCCAUAACCAUCAGAACCUGAUAUAUAUCCUUAGUAGACACGUACUUUCACCGUCGUUAUAUAUACGCAGGUGUAUGGCAUGUUACAAAGAAAGAGGUGCAAGACUAGAAUGACCAAGCUCAGCUGAGAAUGUUGUGCCCUGAACUGCAACUCUGAUCGCCUCACAACCCCCAUUGCACAGAUGUAGUCACUGUAGCGCCACAGUGGAACAACCUAAAUCACAGAUUCGGCAGAAGCAGUGCAAUUCAUGCCAGCUUUGGAAGAACAAACCACGUACAGAAGGAACUGCCCUCGCCAUCACCACCCUCCAACUAGCAACCACCACAACACGAAUGUUAGAAGUUGUUCCAUGUAAUUUGGUGCCGGAACAUUGCUUUCAAACUCGAGAGAGAUGGAGACUCUCUUGAUACCUGGAAAACCCGGGUAAAAGGAUCUCAUGCUUGCAAGUUUGAUCACGGAUCAGCGCUGCGGCAGCAAUUGGAGAUUUUUCACCAAGUCCAGAGAAUUGAGAACCAUGUGCAACGUACGAAAAAACCUGUCUAAUGACAAGUUCAUGUGUGAUAAACCUGUCCAGUGAGAUCUAACAUUCUAAACACAUCAAACUAAUAAGAUCUAAGAUUCUAAAUAGGAUUUCGCCCCAUCCACACUUGGGUGACUUGAAUCUCUUCAUUUCACGUCAUAAUCUCAUGUACAAUGGCCAAGAACCUUCCUCUCCACACUCUUCUCCAUCUCCCAAUACUCCAAGAAAGCAACAAGAGAAGAGAAAGGAAAAGACAGAAUGCAAUGAGGGCCAAAAGCCCUCACAUUAUCCCCCUUCAAAGCCAUAGCCGCCACCUUUACUAACAUUCAUUCACUAUGCAUCUGGGGAAUUUAGCCGCGGUUGCUGUUGAAAAGCAUAGUAAGAGCAUUUUCACCCUGGUCCGGAUCAAAACUAUUGCUCUAGCUCCAAUCAAUCGCCCAGUAAAUUAUUCAGUUAAUAGGAGCUCUGAAAGCUUCUUCCAAGCAGUGAAGCCUCCAUCCUUACAAUCCCACAUUACAAAGCUAGUGAAUAUGCCAGUAGACAAAGUAAGAAAAGCAAAGAGGUUCUAGCAGGUUCUGCUCUACUAUUUAUGCAGUUAGGAUGGAAAUUGAGGAGAUUAAUGAAAAUCAGGAAAAGGUUCUAGAAGGUAGUUUCACAAGGCCAUCAAACUACAUGUAUAAACUCCAACGCUCUCUUGUAAAUUUGGAGGAGCUUUCAUUAGUGGUGAUGGCCGUGGCGACAAGGUGGACUUUGUGGCAACAAAUUUCUGUAAAGUUAUGUGGACAACCAUAAGGAAAGAAUAUUAAGAUGAUUGCAGAUUCAAUUCCCAGUCAACUCAUUCAAGAAAGCCUUCUUGCACAGAUCAGGACGGGAGUGUGUUGCAACAGCGUGCCAAGUGAAUGUUCAUCGUUUCAGAAACGCCCAGCUCUUCGUUCAUGGGCAACGCAUUACACACACACUGUAAAACAUUUGAGCCUCAAGGUCCACCACAAUCCACAACAACGCUCAAAGACAAACCCAGAUGUAUUCCUUGCGUGCUUAUACAUGCCUCAGGUGGCUUUUCACCUUGUCCCCCCCCCCCCCCCUCCUUUAGUAUAACGACCCCCUCAAAUUAUGAAACCACCUGCUCUAACAUGUCACCUGCUGCUGGUGCACCACCCAAAUGGCUCGUGGUCACCAUCAACUAUCUGCACCAUCCUCCAGUUUUGGAAAAGUCUUCAUGAACCAGAGGUACUGUGCCUGAGAUGCUUCACUCAUGUUCUCAAUCUGAGAUGGAUUAGGGGCAUCGACGACGGGUGGGACGGCUGCGUGGGGUAAAUCACCCGGCUGUGCAGCAGCACCUGGCUGCAAAAGGGCAUGAGCUUCACCACCUCCUCCUGCAACCCCGUCGCCUCCAAUCAACGGCUGUUCACUUUCGACCGACGAAUUCUCCUCACCUUCGACGAACUGCUCCUCAUAUUCAGAGGCCUGCGCGAUCCCCACAUUCGUGCUUUCUUCCUCUACGUCAGAGUGCUUGUCAGUAACCCCACCGGCUUCGAGCUCGCUUCCGGUUUUUUUUAGUUUUGUUGCGGCUGUCGCAACCUCAGUGGAAUGCAAAAGACUCUGCUUAUCUAAGUCCGCGGCCUUGUCCAAGUCCUCGUCCGCGACCGUAUCCGCGGAUGGAGGCGAAGGAAUUCCAUUCAGACCGUCACCCGUGCUGAACAUUCUCACAAAAAGUAAUUAUCCAUUUGCAAACCAGAACCCUACCACAAGAAACCCUCACAGUAAACAUAUAGAUUUAAACGUAUAAAGAUCCAAAUUUCACGCUAGAAUUCCAAAAUUGCACAGGUGAAGAUGCUAAGGCAAACGAUUGCGCUAAAUUUGCAAAACAACUCCAUAGACAGGGCAAUUACGUGAUUACUGCCAGAGAGCUGCCCCAUCGCACAAUUCCUAACUAAAAAAUAGCAACAAACAGAACGAGGCAAUACAACACUCAACCCACCUGCGAACGGACGUGAUCUGCUCUGGCUCGGCUGCCAUUCCGCUCUCCAGGCUGGGUGGUGCUGGGGUGUGGUAAAUCAUGAUCCGGCGUGGGCAGUGCGGGGGCAAAAGCGUGAUAGAGAAAGGAGUGAAUGACGAAAAACAUAGGUCUGCUGUGCAUUUAUGGACGUAUAUCAUGAAGCCCUAAAAUCAGGUUGGGGGGCCAGGAAGUGGCCCCAUUCCUUCUUCAUCGCAAGCGUGGACUGGGUAAAAUCCCCACCUGGUCCAGUCAUUCAUUUCGUCGAAGCUUGCACAACAGAAGGGAAGGAAGGGCAGGGAAGGGAAGGACCUGCCAAGGACCUGACAGAGUUGCAGUGCUACGCAUAUCCACCCUUCCCUCGGAAAUACGCCUACCACUUGCAUCUCUUCUGAAUUAAUAUCAAAUAAUAUUCCACUUUCCUUGCAUAUAAACAGAUUCACGUGUCUGUACUUCUGUACUGACACACACAAACAUAAAAGUAAAAGUUCAGAAAGUACAUCUUCGAAAAAGCAUCACAGUGAUUAUUGAUUGCAGAACAAAAAUUAAAAUUGUAGAAACUUAAUCAUUUUUAUAUUUGAAAAAUUUCAAUAUACACAUUUGCAUUACAAUAAUUUCAUAUAAUUGAAAAUUAUGUGUGCAUGUGUGUAUAUAUAUAUAUAUAUAUAUAUAUAUAUAAAUGUAUGUAUGUAUAUAAACAGAAAUAUUCCUAAUAACACUUUAGUUUUUUUUCACAUGCCACCAAUUUUUUUGUUAUUGUCAUCUUAACUUGUCAUCCACAUGUCAUUUUAUUUAAUUAUUUUUUAUAAUUCUAUUAUAUAUAUAUAUAUAUAUAUAUUUUAAUUUAUUUUAUUUUCAAAUAAAUUUAGAAAGUAAAAUUAAUUUUAUUAAAAAAAAUUGUAAAAUUAAUAAGAAUAAGUUACAAUGGUGGUAAUAUUAAAAACAUCUUAUAUAUGUAUGUUUGUAUGUAUGUAUGUAUGUAUGUAUGUUGUUAUUAUUAUUAUUAUUAUUAUUAUAGUGCUAAGUAUAUUUGUUAGUUUAUCUAGUCUUAUAAUGUAUAUGAUCAAUUAUUUUAGAAUCAAAAUAUGUAGAUGUUUUCAUUCAAUGGUUAGACUAAGAAGUUUUUGAAAUGUUCACAACAAGCUUAGAGGAUUAUAAGGACAUGAAUAUCAAACAAUAAAAUCCUCAAUACACUCUUGCGACACUUAAGAAGAGUAAAUAUUCACUCAAAGAUAUUAAUAUUUAAGAAUUAAAAUGACUAGUGCCAAAGACAAGAAGACUAGAGAUUCUUGAAACAAGACUAGGAAUAAGAAAGGCAUUGACAAGAGUCAAGAAAACUUCACUCUUGCCUCCAUAUAUACUAUAUAACUAGGAGCUAUGUGACAAUGUUCUAUAAGAUCUCUAAUAUGUAUUUAAUUUGCAAGUCAUGUGUCUUGACUUAUAGGACAAGUUUUCUAUGCGUGUGUUACAUGGUUAGUUUAUACUACAAGAUACAAACAC